rnacentral:lncRNA from 1 species
GCAGAGCAUCUGACAUGAAAAAUUUUACCAUGGAAAAAACACACUUCCUCUCGCCUUAAACUUGGACAUGAGUUGACGAGCAGCCAUGCCAUUGGAAGAAGCAUUAUCAAGAGUUAUAGUUGCAAUUUUGUCUUCAAUCUUCCAAUCAGAAAGGCACUCAAAUAUAGCCUGAGAUAUCACAAUACCUGUGUGUGGUGGCUCCAGAUCAAGGAAACUAAUCACACGGUACUGCAUAUUCCAUUCUGAAUCAAUAUAGUGUGCCACCAAGCUCAUAUAACAGAGACUUUGGUUCGAGGUCCACAGAUCACACGUGAGGCUAAUUUUGCGAAUAUUCUUAAGUUCCUUGUUCAGUGUUUCCUUUCGGGACUUAAAAAUCUGCAAACAAUCAUUUCUGAUGGUGGCUCUUGUUGUCUUCUGAUAAGAAGGAUUCAAAGACUUCAUCAGCACAUUGAACCAAAAAUGCUCCACCAUGCGGAAAGGGUACUCAUGGACAAUUAUCAUUGUAGCUAUAAGCUCACGAAUUUUUCCAUGAUCAUAGCCACCAGAGAAAUUGACUACUGGAAGAUCAAUAUCACACGCAUCAGCCGCAUCAAAAUUCAGAGUGUCUUGACCUUUUUUGAUGUUCUUCUCACCCUGAUGUGCAAAGCAGCCAUCCAGAUGCCUCUUCAUUGUUGUUGUAGUUCCAGUCUUUGGGUACAUGUACAGUUUGCUGCAAGACUUGCACUUGACCUUUCUCUCCAUUUCUCCUUUUUUCUUCUUUGAAAGCACCUCAACCUCCUCAAAGUGCUCCCAUACAUUCGAGUAUUUCCUUUUUCCCGAUGAUUUUGGCAAUUCAUCAUCCUCAACCAUCACAACUUCCUUGGCCUCCUUGGCUUCAUUCUGACAGAGGGCCUAUGAUUCAGAGGUAUUAAACAUACAUGAACAAAUAUUAAAAUGCAAAGUAUCAGUAUAACAUAUCACAUAAGUCGGACCUAAGAUUCAGAGGUAUUAAACAUAUGUGAACAAACAUCAAGGUGCAAAGUAUCGGUACAACAUAUGUCGCGUAUAUUGUUCACACAAACACAAUAGUCAUACUAAAUUGACGCGUAACUGGGAAUCAAAAUCAGGAGCUAAUGGACAUUCGGCAAUUUCCUCAUCCCCUAUUUUUUUUAAAACAGAUUGCAUUUUCUAGUAAGUAUAAAUUAAGCGAUUGGAUGGACAUCUAAAUUACCAGAAGAUUAGAAGAACAUCUAAAUUAUUGGACAUAUUGGAAAAUCUGUAGUACGUCAAACAAUAGAUGAACAUCAGUCGCAUCACAACCAACAGACCUUCUUGAAAACCCACGCAUAAUCAGAGAGAUUCAACCGGCAGCUGAUAGUGCAUACACACACCUAACCAAAAGCAGGGAAUCCGGCCAUCCAGCGACCAGGGCGACAACAUCGGGUGCGGCGUGUCAGGCUGCCGGCGUGGCAGUGUGGAAGUGCCGCGUGGAUGUGGCGGUGUGCAAGCUUAUGCUCCAGCCACCAAGAAGAUGAGGAGCAUCCUCGGGCACGGGUGCACGAAGUGCCGGACUGCCGGUCAUGGGGCAAAGAAGAGGUCAGAAGUUCACGCCGUCGGUCGAUGGCGAGGCAUGGUCAUGGUGGAGAACAAGGCGAAGGGCUGGAGGCGGAUGUGCAUUGGACAGAUGGAUGAGGUUGUACGUUGAAUCUGUGUUGGACGUGUGUUGGACAGUAGAUGAGAUUGUACUCUGAAUCUGUGGAGGCAUGGUCACUUUGGCUGUACUCUGAAUUACGCAAGAGUAUUUUACACGUGAAUGUAUACUCAAAUCUCAGAAAAGGGGCUUACUUUGAUCGGUUGUACAACCAUCUCGUCGUUUCUCAGGGAGCUCAUCUUGCAAGCUUGCAGCAGAUGAUNUUAUGCUCCAGCCACCAAGAAGAUGAGGAGCAUCCUCGGGCACGGGUGCACGAAGUGCCGGACUGCCGGUCAUGGGGCAAAGAAGAGGUCAGAAGUUCACGCCGUCGGUCGAUGGCGAGGCAUGGUCAUGGUGGAGAACAAGGCGAAGGGCUGGAGGCGGAUGUGCAUUGGACAGAUGGAUGAGGUUGUACGUUGAAUCUGUGUUGGACGUGUGUUGGACAGUAGAUGAGAUUGUACUCUGAAUCUGUGGAGGCAUGGUCACUUUGGCUGUACUCUGAAUUACGCAAGAGUAUUUUACACGUGAAUGUAUACUCAAAUCUCAGAAAAGGGGCUUACUUUGAUCGGUUGUACAACCAUCUCGUCGUUCUCAGGGAGCUCAUCUUGCAAGCUUGCAGCAGAUGAUGGUGUUCGUGGAAGAAAGAAAAAACGAAAAAGCAUAUGUUUGGGAAUUCUGGCCAAAAACAACACCAUAUUGACACACAAACGAUCAUGUACCAUAAUAAGGCCUAAACUUUCUCUACACUUAAUUAAACUUCCGUAUUUGCUAAUAAAUAAAAUGAAAAUAAUUGUGGACACUAUAUAUGGUAACAAAUUAUUCUAUUUCCAUUUAAUAUAUGACAUGAUCAUUUAAUAUAAUGAUGUUUAGCCGAGCUAUCGAGCUAAAAUCGAGGGAGCGGAUAUUGGCUUAAGAUCGGCUCGUUUCUCGAUCGAGCUACAAAAAAUGUUCAUACUCAACUCGUUCCUUUUCGAGUCGAUCUCGAGUCGAGCCAAAACACGAGUCGAUCUCGAGCGGCUCACGAGCCUCGAGCUUUUCUUGCAGCCCUAACCACAACGGGACCCAAAAUCACUGACUAAUAGCAUACAAAACUAGCCAGAAUAGGCCAAAACUGUGAGUUUUCACGAGUUCCACGUAACUCGACCCCGGGGUUUCCGAAACGUUCGGAUCGCAACGGGACCCAAAAUCAGUGAUUAAUAGCAUACAAAACCGGCGAGAAUAGACCAAAACUAUGAGUUUUGACGAGUUCCCCGUAACCGGACCCCGGUGUUCCCGAAACGUUCGGGUCGCAGCGGGAACCAAAAUCAGUGAGUAAUAGCAUACAAAACUGUCCGGAAUAGGCCAAAACAGCGAGUUUUGAUGAAUUCCACGUAACCGAACCCGAGGUUCCGAAACAUUCGGAUCGCAGCGGGACCCAAAAUCAGUGAGUAAUAGCAUACAAAACUGGCCAGAAUAGACCAACGCUACGAGUUUUGACGAGUUCCACGUAACCGGACCUCGGGCUUCCGAAACCUCUGGAUCGUGAUGUCUACUACGCAACCUUCUCCUUGUAGACGUUGUUGGGCCUCCAAGUGCAGAGGUUUGUGGGACAGUCGCAAUUUUCCCUCAAGUGGGUGACCUAAGGUUUAUCAAUCCAUGGAAGGCGUAGGAUGAAGAUGGUCUCUCUCAAGCAACCCUGCAACCAAAUAACAAAGAGUCUCUUGUGUCCCCAACACACCUAAUACAAUGGUAAGUUGUAAAGGUGCACUAGUUCGGCGAAGAGAUGGUGAUACAAGUGCAAUAUGGAUGGUAGAUAUAGGUUUUUGUAAUCUGAAAUUACAAAAAUAGCAAGGUAACAAAUGGUAAAAGUGAGCACGAACGGUAUUGCAAUGCGUGGAAACAAGGCCUAGGGUUCAUACUUUCACUAGUGAAGUUCUCUCAACAAUGAUAACAUAAUUGGAUCAUAUAACUAGCCCUCAACAUGCAACAAAGAGUCACUAAUAGCGGGGAACAAACGAAGAGAUUAUUGUCGGGUACGAAACCACCACACAGUUAUUCUUUCUGGUCGAUCUAUUCAAGAGUCCGUAGUAAAAUAACACGAGGCAAUUCUUUCCGUUCGAUCCAUCAUAGAGUUCGUACUAGAAUAACACCUUAAGAUACAUAUCAACCAAGACCGUAAUGUCACCUAGAUACUCCAUUGUCACCUCAAGUAUCCGUGGGUAUGAUUAUACGAUAUGCAUCACAAAAUCUCAGAAUCAUCUAUUCAACCAACACAUAGAACUUCAAAGAGUGCCCCAAAGUUUCUACCAGAGAGUCAAAACGUGUGCCAACCCGUGUGCAUAGGUUCCCAAUGUCACGAACCCGCAAGUUGAUCACCAAAACAUACAUCAAGUACUCACAUGAAUCCACGUGUGCCAACCCAUACGCAUAGGUUCCCAAUUGUCACAAACCCGCAAGUUGAUCACAUCACAUAGACACGUGCAAGACAUACAUCAAGUGUUCUCAAAGACUCAAUCUGAUAAGAUAACUCCAAAGGGGAAACUCAAUUCAUUACAAGAGGGAGAGGGGGAAGAACAUCAUAAGAUCCAACUAUAGUAGCAAAGCCCAUGGUACAUCGAGAUCAAGACAUCUCAAGAACACGAGAGAGAGAGAGAGAUCAAACACAUAGCUACUGGUACAUACCCUCAGCCCCGAGGGAGAACUACUCCCUCCUCGUCAUGGAGAUCGCCGGGAUGAUGAAGAUGGCCACCGGAGAUGGAUUCCCCUCCGGCAGGGUGCUAGAACGGGCUCCAAAUUGGUUUUUGGUGGCUACAGAGGCUUGCGGCGGCAGAACUCCCGAUCUAGGUUUCUUUUUGGGGGUUUCUGACAUUAUAGGAAUUUAUGGCGGUGGAAUUAUGUCAGUUGGGCCCACGAGGAGAUCAAAAGCCUCGCCACCACCGCGGGGUGGGGGGGGGGUGGCGGCGUGAGGGCUUGUGACUCCCUCAUGGCCCAUAUGGCCUUCUUCCAAAGCUUCGGGGGUCUCUUUUGGUCCAAAAAAAUCAUCGUAAAGUUUCAUUCCAUUUGGACUCCGUCUGAAAAUGGGCCAAAAACACGGAAAAACAGAAACUGGCACUGAGUUAAUAGGUUAGUCCCAAAAAAGAUAUAAAAUAGCAUAUCAAGCAUAUAAAACAUCCAAAGUUGACAAGAUAAUAGCAUGGAACCAUCAAAAAUUAUAGAUACAUUGGAGACGUAUCAAGCAUCCCCAAGCUUAACUCCUGCUCGUCCUCGAGUAGGGAAGUGAUAAACAAUGAAUUUUUGAUGCGUUCAUGCUACCUAGCAUAGAUGUCCUUUGUAACUCCUCUUAUGUGACGUGUAUGUUCAGAUCCAUUAGAUUCAAAACAAUAGUUUGCUAUUGAAGUGAUAAAGAAUGAAUUUUUGAUGUUGCAUCCUACCUAGCAUAGUUGUCCUUUGUAACUUCUCUCACGUGACAUGAAUGUUCAGCUCCGUUAGAAUCAAAACAAUAGUUUGCUAUUGAUGUGGAGAAAAUAAUACUUCAAGCAAACUAGCAAGGUAAUCAUGAAAUUUCAAAAUAACAAGGCCAAAAGAAAGUUAUCCCUACAAAAUCAUAUAGUCUGGCUAUGCUCUAUCAUCAUUGCACAAUGAAUUUAAAUCAUGCACAACCCCGGUAUUGGCCAAGUAAUUGUUUCACACCUUUACUUUCUCAAACCUUUUCAACUCUCACGCAAUACAUGAGUGUGAGCCAUGGUUUUAGCACUAUAAGUGGUGUGGAGUGUGGUGGAGGUUGCAAGGCAAACAAGGAGAAGGUGGUCACAUUCACUAGGCAUAUCAAUGAGCUAUGGAGAUGCUCAUCAAUAGAUAUCAACGUGAAUGAGUAGGGAUUGCCAUACAAAUGAUGCAUUAGAGCUAAGAGUAUGUGAAAGCUCUUAAAGAAAACUAGUCGGUGUGCAUCCAACUUGCUUGCUCACGAAGACCUAAGGCAAUUUUGAGGAAGCCUAUCAUUGGAAUAUAAAAGCCAAGUUAUAUAAUGAAAAUUUCCCACUAGCUAUAUGGUCGUGACAAAACGAGAGGCUCUCAAUCAUGAAGAUCAUGGUGCUUAAUAAGCACAAGUGUGGAAGGGUGGUAGCAUUGUCCCUUCUCUCUUUUUCUCUCAUUUUUUUGGUGGGCUCUUUGGCCUCUUUUUUUUUGGUGGGCAUCUUUGGCCUCUUUUUGUAUAUGGGCUUCGCUGGCCUCUUUUAUUUCCUCACAUGGGACAAUGCUCCAUCAAUGAUGAUCAUCACACUUACAACUCAAAACUUAGAGCAAUGAUGAGUCUAUAUGGAAUGCCUUCGGUAGUGUACCGUGACAAUGAUCUAGCAUGGCAUAGACAUCAAAUGCAAACAUCAUGCUAGCUAUCUUAUGAUCAUGCAAUGGCAAUGUAGAAGUGGUGGCACAUGUCAUGGUGGUAGUUGCAUGGCAAUAUAUCUCGGAAUAGCUUUGAAAAAGCCAUAGUAGGUAGGUAUGGUGGCUAUUUUGAGGAAGGCUAUAUGGGUGGUUUUGUGCACCGACAAAAGUUUCACGACACUAAAAAAAGAUAGUGAUGGUGGAAGGUGAAAGUGCAUCUAAACCAUGGACUCAACAUUAGUCAUGAAGAACUCAUAUACUUGUUGCAAAUUUUUAGUAGUAAUCGAAACAAAGCAUUCAACGCAUACUCCUAGGGGAAGGGUUGGUAGGUAUAAACCAUCGCGCGAUCCCGACCGCCACACAAAGGAUGACAAUCAAUAGACUAAUCAUGCUCAGAUUUCAUCACAUAGCGGUUCACCAUACGUGCAUGCUACGGGAAUCACUAACUUAAACACAAGUAUUUCUAGAUCCACAACACCAUACUAAUAUAACUUCAAUAUUACCACAACUACAACUCAAAACUAAUUGAGAUGAAUCAAACUUCUCCAACUAUUCAAUGCACAUGAAGGUGGAAGUUUUCGUAUCCCUUUGGAUAACUACCCCUUUUGAGACUACUUUCAAAGCAUAGAUAAACUACCAAGCCACGCACCGCUGUUCUCUAAAAGAUAUAAGUGAAGCACAUGUAGCAAAAGUAUCUAGCUCAAAAGAUAUAAGUGAAGCACAUGUGAGCUGAAUUGUCUACCAAAGGAUAUAAGUGAAGCUCGACAAAAUCACGGUGAGUGCAUGUCUCUCUAUCUAGGUGUGCAGCAAGGAUGAUUGUGACACAACAAAAAUAAAAGACUCCUAAGAUACAAGACGCUCCAAGCAAAAACACAUAACAUGUGGUGAAUAAAAAUAUAGCCCCAAGUAACGUUACCGAUGGAUUGAAGACGAGAGAGGGGAUGCCUUCCCGGGGCAUCCCCAAGCUUAGGAUUUUACGGCAUCCUUGAAUCUCUUGGGGUGCCUUGGGAAUCCCCAAGCUUGAGCUCUUGCCACUCUUUAUCUCUUUGUCCAUAAGAACUUCACCCAAAACUUGAAAACUUCACAACACGAAACUUAAACAGAAACUCGUGAUAACAUUAGUAUGAGAAAGCAAACCACCACUUCCUUAGGUACUGUAGCAAACUUAAAUUCUACUUAUGUUGAUGUUGGGUUACUGUAUUUUCAAUUUUCCAUGGCUAAUACCCCCCGAUCCUAUCCAUAGUUUCAUCAAAAUAAGCAACCAACACAACAAAAACAUAAUCUGUUAACAGCAGACGAGUCUGUAGCAAUCUGUAUAGUUCGUAUACUUCUGGUACUUCAAAAAAUCUAACAAAUUACGACAGUCUGAAGAAAUUGCAUAUAAAUCAUAAGCAAAAAGAAUCAACUCAAAAGCUCUUACAGAAUAAAAAUGAAAAUUCGUUUCUUGAGCAGAAAGUUUCUGUCUUUUUCCAGCAUGAUCAAACAAUCAUCACCAAGGCUAAUCAUAACGGUUUUGCUUGGCACAAACACAAAAAGAAACACAAAAGACACAAUCAUAACAGAAUUAUUAUGGUGUGGAGAAAACAAAACAGGAAGCAAAAAUCAAAGAAAAAUUUAUUCAUUGGGUUGCCUCCCAACAAGCGCUAUCGUUUAACGCCCUUAGCUAGGCAUUGAUUUCAAUGAUGCUCACAUAAAAGGUAAGGAUUGAAACACAACGAGAGCAUCGUGGAUCAAAUGGCUAGCACAUUUAAGUCUAACCCACUUCCUAUGCAUAGGGAUUUUGUAAUCAAACAAUUUAUUUGAGCAAGAAUCAACUAGCAUAGGAAGGCAAAACAAGCAUAGCUUCAAAAAUGUCAACAUAUGGAGAGGAAGCUUGAUACUAUUGCAAUAAGUAGAAGCAUAUGAUCCUCCCUCAUAGUAAUUUUCAGUAGCAUCAUGAAUGAAUCCAACAAUAUAACCAGCACCUAAAGCAUUCUUUUCGUGAUCUACAAGCAUAUGAAUUUUACUACUCUCCACAUAAGGAAAUCUAUUCUCAAGAAUAGUAGUGGGAGUAUCGUAAAGGACUUGAGCACUACAAAUUGUGUCCACAAUGAAAAAGCAAGGCUUAGCAAAAGGGAUCUCGAGAGUAUGACAAGUUUUAUCAUCCCUCUUCUUUAAAGCAUAAGUAUCCUCACAAUAAUCAUCAUAGAUAGGGGGCAUGCUUUCAUCAAAAUGAUUUUGAUCAUUCAAAGUGGAAGAACUAAAAAGAUAAUCUUCAUCAAAUAUAGCAUCCCCAAGCUUGUGGCUUUGCAUAUCAUUAGCAUCAUGGGUAUUCAAAGAAUUCAUGCUAAGGACAUUGCAAUCAUGCUCAUCGUUCACAUAUUCUAUGCCAAGCAUUCUUUGUAAUUCUUCUUUCAGCACUUGAGCACAAUUUUCCUUCCCAUCAUGCUCACGAAAGACAUUGAAAAGAUGGAGCAUAUGAGGCAACCUCAAUUCCAUUUUUUUUGUAAUUUUCUAGCAAAAGAACAAGAAACAAAAAGAUUCGAUUGCAAGAUCUAAAGAUAUACCUUCAAGCGCUAACCUCCCCGGCAACGGCGGCAGAAAAGAGCUUGAUGUCUACUAUGCAACCUUCUCCUUGUAGACGUUGUUGGGCCUCCAAGUGCAGAGGUUUGUAGGACAUUAGCAAUUUUCCCUCAAGUGGGUGACCUAAGGUUUGUCAAUCCGUGGGAGGCGUAGGAUGAAGAUGGUCUCUCUCAAGCAACCCUGCAACCAAAUAACAAAGAGUCUCUUGUGUCCCCAACACACCUAAUACAAUGGUAAGUUGUAUAGGUGCACUAGUUCGGCGAAGAGAUGGUGAUACAAGUGCAAUAUGGAUGGUAGAUAUAGGUUUUUGUAAUCUGAAAUUACAAAAACAGCAAGGUAACAAAUGGUAAAAGUGAGCACGAACGGUAUUGCAAUGCGUGGAAACAAGGCCUAGGGUUCAUACUUUCACUAGUGAAGUUCUCUCAACAAUGAUAACAUAAUUGGAUUGUAUAACAAGCCCUCAACAUGCAACAAAGAGUCACUCCAAAGUCACUAGUAGCGGGGAACAAACGAAGAGAUUAUUGUCAGGUACGAAAACACCACAAAGUUAUUCUUUCUGAUCGAUCUAUUCAAGAGUCCGUAGCAAAAUAACACGAAGCUAUUCUCUCCGUUCGAUCCAUCAUAGAGUUUGUACUAGAAUAACACCUUAAGAUACAUAUCAACAAAGACCCUAAUGUCACCUAGAUACUCCAUUGUCACCUCAAGUAUCCGUCGAUAUGAUUAUAUGAUAUGCAUCACAAAAUCUCAAAAUCAUCUAUUCAACCAACACAUAGAACUUCAAAGAGUGCCCCAAAGUUUCUACCAGAGAGUCAAAACGUGUGCCAACCCCUGUGCAUAGGUUCCCAAUGUCACGAAACCGCAAGUUGAUCACCAAAGCAUACAUCAAGUACUCACAUGAAUCCACGUGUGCCAACCCAUAUGCAUAGGUUCCCAAUUGUCACAAACCCGCAAGUUGAUCACAUCAGAUAGACACGUGCAAGACAUACAUCAAGUAUUCUCAAAGACUCAAUCCGAUAAGAUAACUCCAUAGGGGAAACUCAAUUCAUUACAAGAGGGAGAGGGGGAAGAACAUCAUAAGAUCCAACUAUAGUAGCAAAGCCCAUGGUACAUCGAGAUCAAGACAUCUCAAGAACACGAGAGAGAGAGAGAGAUCAAACACAUAGCUACUGGUACAUACCCUCAACCCCGAGGGAGAACUACUCCCUCCUCGUCAUGGAGAUCGCCGGGAUGAUGAAGAUGGCCACCGGAGAUGGAUUCCCCCUCCGGCAGGGUGCCAUAACGGGCUCCAGAUUGGUUUUUGGUGGCUACAGAGGCUUGCGGCGGCGGAACUCCUGAUCUAGGUUUAUUUUUGGGGGUUUCUGAAUUUAUAGGAAUUUAUGGCGGUGGAAUUACGUCAGUUUGGCCCACGAGGAGGUCAUAAGCCUGCUCGCCACCACCGGGCGGGGGGGGGGGGGGGUUGGCGGCGCCGUGAGGGCUUGUGACUCCCUCGUGGCCUAUCUUGCCUUCUUCCAAAGCUUCGGGGGUCUCUUUUGGUCUAAAAAAAUCAUCGUAAAGUUUCAUUCCAUUUGGACUCCGUCUGAAAAUGGGCCAAAAACACGGAAAAAACAGAAACUGGCACUUGGCACUGAGUUAAUAGGUUAGUCCCAAAAAAGAUACUCCCUCCGUCCCAAAAUAAGUAUCUUAAGCUUAGUACAAUUUUGUACUAGAGCUAGUACAAAGUUAAGACAGUUAUUUUGGGACAGAGGGAGUAUAAAAUAGCAUAGUAAUGCAUAUAAAAGAUCCAAAGUUGACAAGAUAAUAGCAUGGAACCAUAAAAAAUUAUAGAUACGUUGGAGACGUAUCAGAACGCAGCGGGACCCAAAAUCAGUGAGUAAUAGCUUACAAAACUAGCUAGAAUAGACAAAAAAUGCGAGUUUUGACGAGUUCCCCGUAACAYGACCRCGGGSUUGCCGAAAUGUUUGGAUCGCAACGGGACCCAAAAUCAGUUAAUAAUAGCAUACAAAACUAGCCAGACAUAGACKAAAACUACGAGUUUUCACUAUUUGCCCUUAACCGGACCCUGGGGUUCCCGAACUGUUCGGAUGGCAUCGGGACCCAAAAUCAGUGACUAAUAGCAUACAAAACUUGUCGGAAUAGGACCAAAACUACGAGUUUCGACGAGUUGUCCGUAACCGGACCCCGGGGUUCCCGGAACGUUCGGAUCGCAGCGGGACCCAAAAUGAGUGACUAAUAGCAUACNNNNNNNNNNNNNNNNNNNNNNNNNNNNNNNNNNNNNNNNNNNNNNNNNNNNNNNNNNNNNNNNNNNNNNNNNNNNNNNNNNNNNNNNNNNNNNNNNNNNAUCGCAGCGGGACCCAAAAUCASUGAGUAAUAGCAUUACAAAMSUGGCCASAAUAGGCYCAAACURYGAGUUUUCWCGAGUUCCAYGUAACCGGAUCCCGGGGUUACCUAAACGUUCGGAUCGCAGCGGGACCCAAAAUCAAUGAGUAAUAGCAUACAAAACUGGCCUCAAUAGACCAAGACUUUGAGUUUCGACGAGUUCCCCGUAAUCGGACCACGGGUUCCCAAAAUGUUCGGAUCGCAGCGGGAACCGAAAUCAGUGAGUAAUAGCAUACAAAAUUGGUCGGAAUAGGACAAAACUGCGAGUUUUCACAAUAUCCCCUUAACCGGACCCCGGGGUCCCUAAACGUUCGGAUGGCAUCGGGAUCCAAAAUCAGUUACUACUGAUAACCCACAAGUAUAGGGGAUCAAUUGUAGCCUUUCUCGAUAAGUAAGAGUGUCGAACCCAACGAGGAGCUAAAGGUAGGACACAUAUUCCCUCAAGUUCUAUCGACCACCGAUACAACUCUACGCACACUUUACGUUCGCUUUACCUAGAACAAGUAUGAAACUAUAAGUACUUUGUAGGAGUGAUAGGAUAGGUUUGCAAGAAAAGAAUGAACACGUAAAUAAAAACUAGGGGCUGGUUAGAUGAAGAAACAAUUACGUUAGUUUAACGAGUGUGGAAAAGUGGUGGUAGGAGUUGCGGAAUUGUCCCUAAGCAAUUGACUAUGUUACUAGACUGAUAGGAAGUUUUAUGUGGGAGAGGCCAAUGCUAGCAUGUCAUCCCUUACUUGGAAUUCUAUGCACUUAUGAUUGGAACUAUUAGCAAGCAUCCGCAAGUACUAACGUUCAUUAAGGUAAAACCCAACCAUAGGAAUAAGAUAUAUUGGUCCUCCUUCAAUCCCAUAUGCAUCAAUUUCUAUGCUAGGCUGAAGCUUCUGUCACCCUUUCCCUCCAAUACAUAGUCCUAUCAAUAUACUACUAACCCCAUGGUGUGAUCCACGCGCACGCUCAUAUGAUGGGAACCAAAGGACAACAACAUAACCACAAGCAAAUUAAACUAAUCAUAGAAAUCCAUCAAUCACCGAUAGGACAACAAAAAUCUACUGAGACAUCAUAGGAUGGCAACACAUCAUUGGAUAAUAAUAUGAAGCAUAAAGCACCAUGUUCAAGUAGAGGGUACAUCGGGUUGCGGGAGAGUGGACCGCUGAAUAUAGAUGGAGGAAGGUGAUGGAUGUGUUGGUGAAGAUGACGGAGGUGUUGGUGUAGAUCGCCGUCACACGAUGAUGUCCCGGGCGGCGUUUCGACGCCACCGGGAGAGAGGGGGAGAGAGCCCCCCUUCUUCUUCUUCUUCUUCCUUGACCUCCUCCCUAGAUGGGAGAAGGGUUUCUCCUGUGCUCCAUGGUCUCCAUGGUGGCGGAGGGGCAAGAGCCCCUCCAAGAUUGGAUCUCUCUCUCUCUGUGUCCUUCUGUUUCUUCCCUCCCAGAUUGUGGCUUUCACCGUUUCUUAAAUUCCCGGAGAUCCGUAACUUCGAUUGGGCUGAAAGUUUAACACGAUUUUCUUUCAGAUAUUAGCUUUCUUCCGGCAAAAGAACGGCCCCAACCACCUUAAAAAGGCUGUGAGCCGUGCCCUAAGGGGGGGGGUCGCGCCUCCUGGGCUUGUGACCUCCUCGGGCAUCGUUUCGCGUAGAUUCUUCUUCCCAAAAAUCAUAAAUAUUCCCAAAAAAAAUCCCCGUAGGUUUUUUAUUGCGUUUGGACUUCGUUUGGUAUGGAUAAUCUGCGAAACAAAAAACAUGCAACAAACAGGAACGGACACUGGGCACUGGGUCAAUAUGUUAGUCCCAAAAAAAGUAUAAAAUGUUGUCAAAAGUAUAUGAAAGUUGUAGAAUAUUGGCAUGAAACAAUCAAAAAUUAUAGAUACGACGGAGACGUAUCAGCAUCCCCAAGCUUAAUUCCCGCUCCUCCUCGAGUAGGUAAAUGAUAAAAAAGAUAAUUUUUGAUGUGGAAUGCUACCUAGCAUAAUCUUGAUCAUAUAAUCUAAUCAUGGCAUGAAUACUAAAACACAAGUGAUUCGAAGCAAUAGUCUAUCAUUUGACAUAAAGAUAAUAAUAUUUCAAGCAUACUAACAAAGUAAUCAUGUCCUCUCAAAAUAUCAUGGCCAAAGAAAGUUAUCCCUACAAAAUCAUAUAGUCUGGCUAUGCUCCAUCUUCCCCACACAACGUAUUUAAAUCGUGCACAACCUCGGUUUGAGCCAAGCAAUUGUUUUAUACUUUAGUGUUCUCAAACUUUUUCAACUUUCACAAAAUACAUGAGUGUGAGCCAUGGACAUAGCAGUAUAGGUGGAAUAGAAUAUGGUGGUUGUUGUGAGGCAAAAAGGAGGAGAUGGUCACAUCAACUAGGCAUAUCAACGGGCUAUGGAAAUGCCCAUCAAUAGAUAUCAAUGUGAGUGAGUAGGGAUUGCCAUGCAAGAGAUGCACAAGAGCUAUAAGUUUAUGAAAGCUCAAAAAGAAACUAAGUGGGUGUGCAUCCAACUCGCUUGCUCAUGAAGACCUAGGGCAAUUGAGGAUGCCCAUCAUUGGAAUAUACAAGCCAAGGUCUAUAAUGAAAAUUUCCCACUAGUAUAUGAAAGUGACAACAUAGGAGACUCUCUAUCAUGAAGAUCAUGGUGCUACUUUGAAGCACAAGUGUGGUAAAGGAUAGUAGCAUUGUCCCUUCUCUCUUUUCUCUCAUUUUUUUUAUUUUUUUUGGUGGGCUUCUUUGGCCAUUUUUUAUUUGGGCUUCAUUGGCCUCUUUUAUUACUUCCUCACAUGGGACGAUGCUCUAAUAAUGAUGAUCAUCACACUUUUAUUUACUUACAACUUGAUAUUUAGAACAAAAUAUGACUCUAUAUGAAUGCCUCCGGCGGUGUACCGGGAUGUGCAAUGAUCUAGCGUAGCAAUGACAUCAAAAAACGGACAAGCCAUGAAACAUCAUGCUAGCUAUCUUAUGAUCAUGCAAAGCAAUAUGACAAUGAUGGUGCGUGUCAUAAUAAAUGGAACGAUGGAAGUUGCAUGGCAAUAUAUCUCGGAAUGUCUAUGGAAAUGCCAUAAUAGGUAGGUAUGGUGGCUGUUUUGAGGAAGGGUAUAUGGUGGGUGUACUGCACCGGCGAAAGUUGUGCGGUACUAGAGAGGCUAGCAAUGGUGGAAGGGUGAGAGUGCGUAUAAUCCAUGGACUCAACAUUAGUCAUAAAGAACUCACAUACUUAUUGCAAAAGUCUAUUAGUCAUCGAAACAAGGUACUACGCGCAUGCUCCUAGGGGAAGGGUUGGUAGGAGUUAACCAUCACGCGAUCCCGACUUCCACACAAAGGAUGACAAUCAAUAAAUAAAUCAUGCUCUGACUUCGUCACAUAACGGUUCACCAUACGUGAAUGCUACGGGAAUCACAAACCUUAACACAAUUAUUUCUACGAAUACAGAACUACUCACUAUCAUGACUCUAAUAUCACAUCUUCAUGUCGCAAAACUAUUGCAAGGAAUCAAACAUAACAUAUUCAGUGAUCUACAAGCUUUAUGUAUGAUUUUAUGACUAACCAUGUGAAUGACCAACUCAUGUUAACUCUCUAAAUAGGUAUAAGUGAAGCAUGAGAGUUUAAUUCUUUCUAUAAAAGAUAUGCCCCGCUCUAACAAAUAUAAGUGAAGCAAAAGAGCAUUCUACAAAUGGCGGUUUUCUAUGUGUAGGGAAACAGGCAAUCCAAACUUCAAAUGAUAUAAGUGAAGCACAUGAAGCAUUCUAUAAAGCCAUACUCAAAAGAUAUAAGUGAAGUGCAAAGAGCACUCUAUAAAUGAACCAAGGACUAUCUCAUACCAGCAUGGUGCAUAAAAUAAAAAGGAAAGAUAAACACAAAAGAAGCUCCAAGCAUUUGCACAUAUCAUGUGACGAAUAAAAAUAUAGCUCCGAGUAAAAUAACCGAUAAAUUGUAGACGAAAGAGGGUAUGCCUUCCGGGGCACCCCCAAGCUUGGACACUUGAGUCUUCCUUGAAUAUUACCUUUGGGUGCCUCGGGCAUCCCCUAUAUUAGGCUCUUGCCUCUCCUUAUUCCUUCAUCCAUCCUGGUCUCACCCAAAACUUGAAAACUUCAAUCACACAAAACUCAACGAAACCUUCGUGAGAUCCGUUAGUAUAAUAAAGUAAAUCACCACUCUAAGUAAUGUUGUGAAGUCAUUUCAAAUUCAUAUUAGCAUUAUAUCUACUGUAAUCCAACUUCACCAUGGUUCAUACCACCCGAUACUACCCAUAGAUUCAUCAAAAUAAGAGAACAAUGCAUAGAAAACAGAAUCUGUCAAAAACAGAACAAUCUGUAGUAAUCUGAACGUAUACCAUACUUCUGAUACUACAAAAAUUCUGAAGAAAUUAUGAUAAUUAAGGAAAUUUGUGUAUCAAUCAUCAGAAAAAAGAAUCAACUCAAAAGCUCUUUCUGGAUAGGAAUUAAAAAUAAUUUCGUGAGCACAAAGUUUCUGUCUUUUUCAGCAUGAUCAAACAACUAUCACCCAAACUAAUCAUAAAGGCUUUACUUGGCACAAUAUUUUUAUAAUACAAUGGAAUUGUACAAGGGGAUAAUUAUUUUUGCGAGAAACUUCCAUGAAAAAUUCUACAUUGUUUCCAUGAGCAUGAACACAAGUGUUCAAGGUCGACCCUCACUUCCGCAAUGCAUCACCUUUCAAUCGCUUCUCUUUUUGAAAAAGUUUUAAGUUCCCCUCUAUAUUUUUUUGUUUUUAAACUAUAAAAAAGCACUCAACAGAAAUAAAUGACUCUCUAAAACUUUCGGGUUGUCUCCCACGCAGCGCUUUCUUUAAAGCCAUUAAGCUAGGCAUAAAGUGCUCAAGUAAUGGAUCCACCCGGAUCCCAAGGUAUAUCAAAGCCAAUUUUAAUUAACAAUGAUUUGUAAUUUAGUAGUGAGCACAAGGUAACAUAUAUCAUGCAAUGACGAAGUCUAACUCUCUUCCUAUGCAUUGGCAUGUCAUAAAAGAACAAUUCAUGCACAUCAAGUAAAGGCCAAUACAUAGCAUAAGCAGUUUCUUGCAAUUUUAUCGUAUUGGAAACAUAGAGAGGUGGAGAUGUAGUUCCUCUCUCAUAAUAAUGGCAAGUAGGAGCAGCAAGCACAUGCAUAUUAUAUUCAUCAAAAUCAUCAUGUGUAAUAGUAGAAGGCAACCCAUCUAUGUAAUCCCUAAUAAGAGCAAACUUCUCCGAUAUAGUGUAGUUGGGAGAGUUCAAAAAGAUAAUAGGACUAUCAUAAGUGGGUGCGAUAGCAACAAUUUCAUGUUUAACAUAAGGAAUUAUAGCAAGUUCAUCUUCAUAAGCAUCAUUCAUAUUGGCAUCAUGGCGACAACCAUAGCAAGCAUCAAGUUCAUCAAAAAGGGAUAUUUCAAACGAAUCCAAGGGACCAUAGCAAUCAACAUAGCAUUCAUCCUUCGGUAUGAACGAAGGGAAAUUAAACAAUGUAUGAGUUGAAUAGUUACUCUCGUUAGAAGGUGGGCACGGGUAGCUAGUCUGCUCUUCCUCCUUUUGUUCUUCGCUCUCCUCGUCAUCUUUUUCAUCUAAUGAGCUCACAGUUUCAGCAUUUUCUUCUUCCAUAGUUUCCUGCAAAAUAUUAGUCUCUUCUUGGGUAGCGAAUAGUUUCUCCAUAAAUCGGUAAAUAUGGGCAUUAUAUUCAUAAUUAGUAUAACAAUAAUGAAUCAUAACCAAAUUUUCAGAUCGGUAAGCAACAUCAUCAUUAUCAUCACACCUUUUAAAUAGAGCUUCAAUUUCAUAAGCACCCAUAAAAGCAACAAACUCUUCUAUUUGUUCCACAUCAUAGUAAUCAUAUAUACCAUUAGCAUAAGAAGCCAAGGUUUCAUUAGCAUUAAAUUUACAAGAAAAGGGAAGGUGUUUAGCCUUCAUCCUAGAGCAACAAGUAAUAUCAUAUCUCGAGCAUAGCUCCCAAGCAUACCAUUUCAACAUAUGCAUUUGAUCCCAUAAUAGUUUCCUUUUUUGAGUCAAGCAAUAAUCCCUAAAGUAUUCACGUUGAUCCAACGUGUAUCCCAUUAUAUAAUUUAAUGGGGUUUUCUCAGGAUUAUUAAAGAAGUGCAUAAUAUUUUCCACAUAACGAGCAUCGAGGGUUUUAGGAGGUUCCCCAUCUCCAUGAGUAGUAAGUACACCUAAUUGUUUUGAUAUUUCGUGUUCCAUAUCCAUAACUAAAUAUAGAGAAAAAAACUUAGAACAACAAAUAAAUCUACUUAGUGAUAAAGCAAACAAGCACACACGAGAAUAUUCACCCCACGCUAUUGCUCCCCGGCAAUGGCGCCAGAAAAAGGUCUUGAUAACCCACAAGUAUAGGGGAUCAAUUGUAGCCUUUCUCGAUGAGUAAGAGUGUUGAACCCAACGAGGAGCUAAAGGUAGGACAAAUAUUCCCUCAAGUUCUAUCGACCACCGAUACAACUCUACGAAAACUUUACGUUCGCUUUACCUAGAACAAGUAUGAAACUAGAAGUACUUUGUAGGAGUGAUAGGAUAGGUUUGCAAGAAAGAAUGAACACGUAAAUAAAAACUAGGGGCUGGUUAGAUGAAGAAACAAUUACAUUAGUUUAACGAGUGUGGAAAAGUGGUGGUAGGAGUUGCGGAAUUGUCCCUAAGAAAUUGACUAUGUUACUAGACCGAUAGCAAGUUUUAUGUGGGAGAGGCCACUGCUAGCAUGUCAUCCCUUACUUGGAAUUCUAUGCACUUAUGAUUGGAACUAUUAGCAAGCAUCCGCAACUACUAAUGUUCAUUAAGGUAAAACCCAACCAUAGCAAUAAGAUAUAUUAGUUCCCCUUCAAUCCCAUAUGCAUCAAUUUCUAUGCUAGGAUGAAGCUUCUUUCACCCUUGCCCUCCAAUACAUAGUCCUAUCAACAUACUACUAACCCCAUGGUGUGAUCCACGCGUGCGCUCAUAUGAUGGGCACCAAAGGACAGCAACAUCACCACAAGCAAAUUAAACCAAUCAUAGCAAUUCAUCAAUCACCGAUAGGACAACGAAAAUCUACUCAGACAUCAUAGGAUGGCAACACAUCAUUGGAUAAUAAUAUGAAGCAUAAAGAACCAUGUUCAAGUAGAGGGUACAGCGGGUUGCGGGAGAGUGGACCGCUGAAUAUAGAUGGGGGAAGCUGAUGGAGGUGUUGGUGAAGAUGACGGAGGUGUUCGUGUAGAUCGUCGUCACACGAUGAUGUCCCGGGCGGCGUUCUGGCGCCGCCGGGAUAGAGGGGGAGAGAGCGCCCCUUCUUCUUCUUCUUCCUUGACCUCCUCCCUAAAUGGGAGAAGGAUUUCCCCUCUGGUCCAUGGUCUCCAUGGCGGCGUAGGGGCAAGAGCCCCUCCGAGAUUGGAUCUCUCUCUGUGUGUCCUUCUGUUUUGGCCCUCCCAGAUUCUCGCUUUCACCGUUUCCUAAAUUCCCGGAGAUCGUAACUCCGAUUGGGCUGUAAUUUUAACACGAUUUUCUUCCGGAUAUUAGCUUUCUUCCGGCGAAAGAAGGGCCCCAACCGCCUUAGGGAUUGGUCACAAGCCUGCCAGCCGCGCCCUAGGGGGGGCCUCCUGGGCUUGUGACCUCCUGAGGCAUCGUUUUGCAUAGAUUCUUCUUCCCAAAAAUCAUAAAUAUUCCAAAAAAAUCCCCGUAGGUUUUUUAUUGCAUUUGGACUUCGUUUGGUAUGGAUAAUCUGCGAAACAAAAAACAUGCAACAAACAUGAACUGGCACUGGGCUAUGGAUCAAUAUGUUAGUCCCAAAAAUAGUAUAAAAAGUUGCCAAAAGUAUAUGAAAGUUGUAGAAUAUUGGCAUGAAACAAUCAAAAAUUAUAGAUACAACAGAGACGUAUCAACUAAUAGCAUACAAAACUAGACAGAAUAGACAAAAAACAUUGAGUUUUGACGAAUUCCCCGUAACCGGACCCGUGGUUCCACGUAACCGGACCCUAGGGUUCCCGAAACAUUCGGAUCUGAGCCGGACCCAAAAUCAGUUACUAAUAGCAUAAAAAACUAGUCGUAAUAGGUCAAAACUGCGAGUUCUGACGAGUUAUGUGUAACCGGACCCCGGGGUUCCCGAAACGUUCGGAUCGCAGGAGGACCCAAAAUGAGUGACAAAUAGCACACAAAUGUGGCUAGAAUAGGCUAAAACUGCGAGUUUUGAUGAGUUCCCCGUUACCGGAUCCUAGGGUUCCCGAAACAUUCGGAUCUCAUCGGGACCCAAAAUCACUUACUAAUAGCAUACAAAACUGGUCGCAAUAGGCCAAAACUGCGAUUUUUGACGAUUUCCCCGUAACCGGACCCCGGGGUUCCCGAAACGUUCGGAUCGCAGCAGGAACCAAAAUCAAUGAGUAAUAGCAUACAAAACUCGCCAGCAUAGGCCAAAAUUGCGAGUUUUAACGAGUUCCCCGUUACCGGACCCCCGGGGUUUCCGAAACGUUCGGAUCGCAGCGGGACCCAAAAUCAAUGAGUAAUAGCAUACAAAACUGACCACAAUAGGCCAAAACUAUAAUUUUUUACGAGUUCCCCGUAACCAGACCACGGGAUUACCGAAACAUUCGGAUCACAAUGGGACCAAAAAUCAGUGACGCAUACGAAACUGGCCAGAAUAGGCCAAAACUGCUACUUUUCAUGAGUUCCUCGUGACCGGACCCCGAUGUUUUCGAAACGUUCAGAUCACAACGGGACCCAAAAUCAGUGAUUAAUAGCAUAUAAAACUGGCGACAAUAGACCAAAACUACGAGUUUUAACAAAUUCUCCGUAACUAGACCCCGGGGUUCCGAAACRUUYGGAUCGCAACAGGACCCAAAAUCAGUGAGUAAUAGCAUACAAAACUGGCCAGAAUAAAACAAAACUUUAAGGUUCGACGAGUUCCCUGUAAUCAGACCAUGGGUUCCCGAAACAUUCGGAUCACAACGGGAAACAAAAUCAGUAAGUAAUAGCGUACAAAACUGGCCGGAAUAGGUCAAAACUGCGAGUUUUCAAGAUUUCCCCUUAACCGGACCCCGGGGUUCCCAAAACGUUCGGAUGGAAUCAGGACCCAAAAUCAGUGACUAAUAGCAUAGAAAACUGGCGAGAAUAGACCUAAACUUUGAGUUUUGACGAAUUCCCCGUAAUUGGACCCCGUGGUUCCACGUAACCGGACCCUAGACUUCCCGAAACAUUCCGAUCACAGCGGGACCAAAAAUCAGUUACUAAUAUCAUAGAAAACUGGUUGUAAUAGGCCAAAACUGCGAGUUCUGACGAGUUCUGUGUAACCGGAACUCGAGGUUCCCGAAAUGUUCGGAUCAAGGAGGACCCAUAAUGAGUGACUGAUAGCACACAAACGUGGCGAGAAUAGGCUAAAACGCGAGUUUUGACGAUUUCCCCGUAAUCGGACAUCGGGGUUCCCGAAACGAUCGGAUCGGAGCGGGACCCAAAAGCAAUGAGUAAUAGCAUACAAAACUUGGCACAAUAGGCCAAAACUGCGUGUUUUGACGAGUUCCACGGAGCCGGAUCCCGGGGUUCCUCAAACGUUCGGAUCACAGCGGAACCCAAAAUCAGUGAGUAAUAGCAUACAACACUUGCCACAAUAGGCCAAAAUUGCGUGUUUUGACGAGUUCCACGUAACCGGAUCCCGGGGUUCCUGAAACGUUCGGAUCGCAACGGGUCCCAAAAUCAGUGAGUAAUAGCAUACAAAACUGGCCACAAUAGGCCAAAACUGCCAUUUUUUACAAGUUCCCCGUAACCGGACCACGGAGUUACCGAAAUGUUUGGGCCACAACGCGACCCAAAAUUAGUGACUGAUGGCAUACAAAACUAGCCAGAAUAGACCAAAACUGUGAGUUUUCACGAGUUCCACGUAACUGGACCCCGGGGAUUCCGAAACGUUCGGAUCGCAACGGGUNGGGUUCCUGAAAUGUUCGGAUCACAGCGGGAACCAAAAUCAGUGAGUAAUAGCAUCCGAAACUGGCUGGCAUAGGCCAAAACUGGGAGUUUUCACGAUUUCCCCUCAACCGGUCCCCGGGGUUCCCUAAACGUUCGGAUGACAUCGGGACCCAAAGUUAGUGACUAAUAGCAUACAAAACUGGCCGCAAUAGGCCAAAACUAUGAGUUUUCGACGAGUUCCCCGUAACCGGACRANNNNNNNNNNNNNNNNNNNNNNNNNNNNNNNNNNNNNNNNNNNNNNNNNNNNNNNNNNNNNNNNNNNNNNNNNNNNNNNNNNNNNNNNNNNNNNNNNNNNGAAGUGGAAACCAAAAUCAGUGAGUAAUAGCAUCCAAAAAUGGCCGGCAUAGGCCAAAACCGCGAGUAUUGAUGAGUUCCUCGUAAGCGGAACCCGACGUUCCCAAAACGUUCGGAUAGCAGCAGGACCCGAAAUCUUUGACUAAUAGCAUACAAAACUGGUCGGAAUAGGCCAAAACUAUGAGUUUUGACGAGUUCCCCGUAACUAGACCCCAGGGUGCCAGAAACGUUCAGAUCACAGGAGGACACAAAAUGAGUGUUUAAUAGCAUACAAACGUGGCCAGAAAAGGCUCAAACUGCGAGUUUUGACGAGUUCAUUGUAACCGGACCUCGGGGUUCCCGAAACGUUCGGAUCGCAGGGGGAUCAAAAUCAAUGAGUAAUAGCAUACGAAACUCACCAGCAUAGGCCAAAAUUGCGAGUUUUGACGACUUUCCCGUUACCGGACCCCGGGGUUCCCGAAACGUUCGUAUCACAGCGGGAACCAAAAUCAGUGAGUAAUAGUAUACAAAACUCACCAGAAUAGGCCAAAAUUGCGAGUUUUGAUGAGUUCCCCGUAACCGAACCCGGGGUUCCCAAAACGUUCGGAUAGCAGCAGGACCCAAAAUCAUUGACUAAUAGCAUACAAAACUCGCGACCAUAGGCCAAAACUGCGAGUUUGGACGAGUUCCCCGUAACUAGACCCGAGGGUUUCUGAAACAUUCGGAUCACAUCGGUUCCCAAAAUCAGUGACUAAUAGCAUAGAGAACUUGAAGUAAUAGGCCAAAACUGCGAGUUUUGACGARUUCCCCGUAACCGGACCCAGUGGUUCCCGAAACAUUCAUAUCGCAGAGGGAACCAAAAUUAGUGAGUUAGUAUACAAAACUCGCCAGAAUAGACCAAAAUUGCAAGUUUUGAUGAGUUCCCGUAACCGGAACCCGGGGUUCCCAAAACGUUCGGAUCGCAGCAGGACCAAAAAUCAGUGACUAAUAGCAUAUAUAACGAGCCAGAAUAUGCCAAAACUCCAAGUUUUGACGAUUCCCCGUAACCGGACCCUAGGGUUCCCGAAAUAAUCGGAUCACACCGGGACCCAAAAUCAGUGACUAGUAGCAUAGAAAACUGGUCGUAAUAAGCCAAAACUGCGAGUUUUGACGAGUUCUNNNNNNNNNNNNNNNNNNNNNNNNNNNNNNNNNNNNNNNNNNNNNNNNNNNNNNNNNNNNNNNNNNNNNNNNNNNNNNNNNNNNNNNNNNNNNNNNNNNNUUGAUGAAUUCCCCGUAACCGGACCCCAUGGUUCCCGAAAGGUUCGUAUCGCAGCAGGAAACAAAAUCAGUGAGUAAUAGCAUACAAAACUGUCCGGAAUAGGCCAAAACAGCGAGUUUGAUGAAUUCCACGUAACCGAACCCGAGGUUCCGAAACAUUCGGAUCGCAGCGGGACCCAAAAUCAGUGAGUAAUAGCAUACAAAACUGGCCAGAAUAGACCAACGCUACGAGUUUUGACGAGUUCCACGUAACCGGACCUCGGGCUUCCGAAACCUCUGGAUCGUGAUGUCUACUACGCAACCUUCUCCUUGUAGACGUUGUUGGGCCUCCAAGUGCAGAGGUUUGUGGGACAGUCGCAAUUUUCCCUCAAGUGGGUGACCUAAGGUUUAUCAAUCCAUGGAAGGCGUAGGAUGAAGAUGGUCUCUCUCAAGCAACCCUGCAACCAAAUAACAAAGAGUCUCUUGUGUCCCCAACACACCUAAUACAAUGGUAAGUUGUAUAGGUGCACUAGUUCGGAUCGCACGAGGACACAAAAUGAGUGAUUAAUAGCAUACAAACGUGGCCAGAAAAGGCUCAAACUGCGAGUUUUGACGAGUUCAYYRUAACCGGACCCCGGGGUUCCCGAAACGUUCUGAUCGCAGCAGGAACCACAAUCAAUGAGUAAUAGCAUAUGAAAUUCACCAGCAUAGGCCAAAAUUGCGAGUUUUGACCAGUUCCCCGUUACCGGACCCCGGGGAUUCCGAAACGUUCGUAUCGCAACGGGAAUCAAGAUNNNNNNNNNNNNNNNNNNNNNNNNNNNNNNNNNNNNNNNNNNNNNNNNNNNNNNNNNNNNNNNNNNNNNNNNNNNNNNNNNNNNNNNNNNNNNNNNNNNNAAACGUUCGGAUCGCAGCGGGAGCCAAAAUCAGUGAGUAAUAGCAUACAAAACUGGCCAGAAUAGACCAAAGCUGCGAGUUUUGACGAGUUCCCCGUAACAUGACUCUACGGUUUCCGAAAUAUUUGGAUCACAACGGGACCCAAAAUCAGUGACUAAUAGCAAAGACAACUCGCAGUAAUAGGCCAAAACUGCGAGUUUUGACGAGUUGUUUGUAACCGGACCCCGGGGUUACCGAAAUGUUCGGAUCGCGGGAGGAGCCAAAAUGAGUGACCAAUAGCAUACAAAGAUGGCUAGAAUAGGCUAAACUUGCGAGUUUCGACAAGUUCCCCGUAACCGGACAUCGGGGUUCCCAAAACGUACAGAUCGCAGGGGGACCCAAAAACAGUGAGUAAUAGGAUAGAAAACUGGCCACUAUAAGCCAAAACUGCUUGUUUUAGACGAGUUCCACGUAACCGGAUCCCGGGGUUCCURRAACGUUCGGAUCGCAACGGGUCCCAAAAUCAGUGAGUAAUAGCAUACAAAAACUGGCCACAAUAGGCCAAAACUGCCAUUUUUUACAAGUUCCCCGUAACCGGACCACGGAGUUACCGAAAUGUUUGGGCCACAACGCGACCNNNNNNNNNNNNNNNNNNNNNNNNNNNNNNNNNNNNNNNNNNNNNNNNNNNNNNNNNNNNNNNNNNNNNNNNNNNNNNNNNNNNNNNNNNNNNNNNNNNNCUAUUCUGGCAAGUUUUGUAUGCUAUUACUCACUGAUUUUGGGCCCCGCUGCGAUCCGAACGUUUCGAGAACCCCCGGGUCCGGUUACGUGGAACUCGUGAAAACUCGCAGUUUUGGUGUAUUCCUGCCAUUUUUGUAUGCUAKUAKUCACUGAUUUUGGGUCCCGUUGUGAUCCGAACGUUUCGGUAACCCCGUGGUCCGUUACGGGGUAAUCGUCAAAUCGCAGUUUUGGCCUAUUGUGGCUAGUUUUGUAUGCUCUUACUCACUGAUUUUGGCCCCGCUGCGAUGCGAAUGUUUCAGGAAUCMCGKGGUCCGRUUACRGGRAACUCGUUSAAACUCRMAGUUUUGRYUUAUUCUGGCCAGUUUUGUAUGCUAUUACUCAUUGAUUUUGUGUCCCGCUGUGAUUCGAACGUAUCAGUAACCCGUGGUCCAAUUACGGAGAAGUCGUCGCAACUGGCAGYUUUGGUCUAUUCUGGCCAGUUUUGUAUGCUAUUACUCACUAAUUUUGGGUCCCGCUGCAAUCCGAACGAUUCGGGAACCACGUGGUCCGGUUACAGGGAACUUGUCAAAACUCGUAGUUUUGGUCUAUUCUCGCCAGUUUUGUAUGCUANNNNNNNNNNNNNNNNNNNNNNNNNNNNNNNNNNNNNNNNNNNNNNNNNNNNNNNNNNNNNNNNNNNNNNNNNNNNNNNNNNNNNNNNNNNNNNNNNNNNGAUAGCAUAGAAAACUGGCCACAAUAAGCCAAAACUGCGUGUUUUGACGAGUUCCAUGUAACCGGAUCCCGGGGUUCCCGAAACAUUCGAAUCGCAGCGGGUCCCAAAAUCAGUAAGUAAUAGCAUAAAAAACUGGCCACAAUAGGCCAAAACUGCGUUUUUUACGAGUUCCCCGUAACCGGACCACGGGGUUACCGAAACGUUCAGAUCAUAACGGGACCCAAAAUCAGUGACUAAUAGCAUACAAAACUAGCCACAAUMGGCCAAAACUGCGAGUUUUCACGAGUUCCACGUAACCGGACCCCGGGGUUCYCGAWACGUYCGGAUCGCAGCSGGGCCCAAAAUCAGUGAGUAAUAGCAUACAAAACUUGCCAGAAUAGACCAAAACUGCGAGUUUCGACGAGUUCCCCGUAAUCGGACCACGGGUUCCCGAAAUGUUCAGAUCCCAGCGGGAACCAAAAUCAGUGAGUAAUAGCAUACAAAACUGGGGAAUAGGCAUAACUGCGAGUUUUCACGAUUUCCCCUUAACUGGACCCNNNNNNNNNNNNNNNNNNNNNNNNNNNNNNNNNNNNNNNNNNNNNNNNNNNNNNNNNNNNNNNNNNNNNNNNNNNNNNNNNNNNNNNNNNNNNNNNNNNNAAGCUUAGGAUCCCAAUGUGCUGGAAAGGAACACGCCCGGCUAAGGACAAUGUAUGAGAAAAUGAAAAGGAAAAACUGCAAAAAGUGAGGUCGAACCCUAGUCACAUGCGUAGAACUGACGUGACUUAGCCACUAUGGCGGAAGAGUUUCUAUGUUCUAUGUUCGUAUCUGCCCUUUAUAAUAACAGAUCGCAUGGCGACUUGGGAAAAAUCUGAAACGUUUUCUUUACUUAUGAGUGGGUAAUAUAUAUAUAUAGGUAAAGAUGUAAAGAUAAAAACAAGAGGAAUGAUAACGUGCACGAUCAGCGCACGACGCCACGUGUCCACCCUCGAGAACACCAAACGACCCGGGGAGGAGAGAAAAUCUAACUUCCCCGUCUUGUUUAGCCCCAUCGGGCUCUGCGUCUCCCCCACCCCGCCGACACUCUUCGUCCUUUUCUUUCUCCAGAUCAGGCAACAAAAUCCCACUCCCACCCUCCAACCCUACGCGCCACCACCCUCCUCCUUUCAUACGACGACGANNNNNNNNNNNNNNNNNNNNNNNNNNNNNNNNNNNNNNNNNNNNNNNNNNNNNNNNNNNNNNNNNNNNNNNNNNNNNNNNNNNNNNNNNNNNNNNNNNNNUUUCAGAAACCCUCGGGUCUAGUUACGGGGAACUCGUCCAAACUCGCAGUUUUGGCCUAUGGUCGCGAGUUUUGUAUGCUAUUAGUCAAUGAUUUUGGGUCCUGCUGCUAUCCGAACGUUUUGGGAACCCCGGGUUUCGGUUACGGGGAACUCAUCAAAACUCGCAAUUUUGGCCUAUUCUGGUGAGUUUUGUAUACUAUUACUCACUGAUUUUGGUUCCCGCUGUGAUACGAACGUUUCGGGAACCCCGGGGUCCGGUAACGGGGAACUGGUCAAAACUCGCAAUUUUGGCCUAUGCUGGUGAGUUUCGUAUGCUAUUACUCAUUGAUUUUGAUCCCCGCUGCGAUCCGAACGUUUCGGGAACCCCGGGGUCCAGUUAUGGUGAACUCGUCAAAACUCGCAGUUUUGGUCUAUUCUGGCCAGUUUUGUAUGGUAUUACUCACUGAUUUUGGGUCCCGCUGCGAUCCGAACGUUUCGGGAACCCCGUAGUCCGGUUACGGGGAACUCGUCGAAACUCAUAGUUUUGGCCUAUUGCGGCCAGUUUUGUAUGCUAUUAGUCACUAACUUUGGGUCCCGAUGUCAUCCGAACGUUUAGGGAACCCCGGGGACCGGUUGAGGGGAAAUCGUGAAAACUCCCAGUUUUGGCCUAUGCCAGCCAGUUUCGGAUGCUAUUACUCACUGAUUUUGGUUCCCGCUGUGAUCCGAACAUUUCAGGAACCCCGGGGUCCGGUUACGAGGAACUCGUCAAAACUCGCAGUUUUUGUCUAUUCUGGCUAGUUUUGUAUGCUAUUAUUAACUGAUUUUGGGUCCCGUUGCGAUCCAAACAUUUCGGCAAGCCCGAGGUCUUGUUACGGGGAACUCGUCAAAACUCGCAGCUUUGGUCUAUUCUGGCCAGUUUUGUAUGCUAUUACUCACUAAUUUUGGGUCCCGCUGCAAUCCGAACGAUUCGGGAACCACGUGGUCCGGUUACAGGGAACUUGUCAAAACUCGUAGUUUUGGUCUAUUCUCGCCAGUUUUGUAUGCUAGUAAUCGCUGAUUUUGGGUCCCAUUACGAUCCGAACAUUUCGGAAACCCCGGGGUCCGGUUACGUGGAACUCGUGAAAACUCGCAGUUUUGGCCUAUUCUGGCUAGUUUUGGGUCUCGCCGCGAUCCGAACGUUUUGGGAACCCCGGGAUCCGAUUACGUGGAACUCGUCAAAACACGCAAUUUUGGCUUAUUAUGGCAUGUUUUGAAUGCUAUUACUCACUGAUUUUGGGUCCCGCUGUGAUCCGAACGUUUCAGGAACUCUGAUGUCCGGUUACGGGGAACUCGUCAAAACUCGUAGUUUUAGCCUAUUGUGGCCAUGUUUGUAUGCUAUCAGUCACUCAUUUUGGGUCCUCCUGCAAUCCGAACAUUUCAGGAACCCCGGGGUCCGGUUACAAUGAACUCGUCAAAACUCGCAGUUUGAGCCUUUUCUGGCCACGUUUGUAUGCUAUUAAUCACUCAUUUUGUGUCCUCGUNNNNNNNNNNNNNNNNNNNNNNNNNNNNNNNNNNNNNNNNNNNNNNNNNNNNNNNNNNNNNNNNNNNNNNNNNNNNNNNNNNNNNNNNNNNNNNNNNNNNUCGUCAAAACUCGCAGUUUUGCUCUAUUCUGGCCAGUUUUGUAUGCUAUUACUCACUGAUUUUGGGUCCUGAUACGAUCCGAACGUUUCGGAAACUCCGGGGUCCGGUUACGGGGAACUUGUCAAAACUCGUAGUUUUGGCCUAUUCCGCACAGUUUUGUAUGCUAUUAGUCACUGAUUUUGGGUCCCGAUGCCAUCCGAACGUUUCGGGAACCCCGGGGUCCGGUUAAGGGGAAAUCGUGAAAAAUCGCAGUUUUGGCCUAUGCCGGACAAUUUUGUAUGCUAUUACUCCCAGAUUUUGGGUCCCGCUACGAUCCGAAUGGUUCGGGAACCCCGGGGUCCGGUAAUGGGGAACCCGUCAAAACUCGCAGUUUUUGUCUAUUCUAGCUAGUUUUGUAUGCUAUUACUCAUUGAUUUUGUGUCCCGCUUUGAUCCAUACUUUUGCCCAGUUUUUUAUGUUAUUACUCACUGAUUUUGGGUCCCACUCCGAUCCGAACAUUUCGGGAACCCCGGGGUUCUAUUACGGGGAAGUCGUCAAAACUCGCAGUUUUGGCCUAUUCCGACCAGUUUUCUAUGCUAUUACUCACUGAUUUUGGUUCCCGCUGCAAUCCGAACGUUUCGGGAACCNNNNNNNNNNNNNNNNNNNNNNNNNNNNNNNNNNNNNNNNNNNNNNNNNNNNNNNNNNNNNNNNNNNNNNNNNNNNNNNNNNNNNNNNNNNNNNNNNNNNUAUCAUUCGUUGAGAGCUCAAACCAUUUGCAUCCUUGCAUCAUACUUCUUGGUUCUUGUUUGGUGUUUCUCUUUGUGAGUUUGAGAGCUUAUUUUCAUCUUCAUGACAAGCUCGAGUUCAUCGAAAACGGAGUCCAUAUGCAUCUUCUAUCAUGUUUUCGAUGUUGGGAGUUUUACCGGUCUUAUUCGAAUAAGGGUUCUCACCAUUUUCUUAUGGGACUUUUCUCACUUGCUUCUUAUUGAUAUUUCUAUCAAGAUUGUGUUAGCCCAUGUCGUUAGCUUUCCAACAAACUUGGUUUCAUUGAAUUCGGAGUCCGUAUGCGAAAGUUACAUCAGUUUUAGUAUCCAGCGGUAGUACCGCUCCUGUAGCGGUAGUACCGCUCCUGUAGCAGUAGUAUCGCCCCCGGAACGGUAGUAAUUUUUACUACCGCUCCCUAGCGGUAGUACCGCUCCACGAGCGGUAGUACCGCUCCGUCGGACCGUUUUUUUGCAUACUUUUUGGCCUCAGCAUGGUUGGUGAACCUACCGAGCGGUAGUACCGCUCCAUGAGCGGUAGUACCGCUCUGUGCGGACUGUGAAGCAUAACGGUUGGACUUUUCCCCACCUAUAAAAGGGGGUCUUCUUCCCCAUUGCUCCUAAUCUCUUUAGCUCGCGUUCUUCCCCCAUUGUUGACCUUCUUCGAGCUUGUUAACUCUCAAUCCCUCCAAUGAUUCUUGCUAGUUCUUGAGGGAAAAGAGAGAGGAGAUCUAGAUCCACAUUUCCACCAAUCACUUUCUCCUCUAAGUGAGGGGAACCCCUUGGUCUAGUUCUUGGAGUUCUUCGUGUUCUUCUUCGUUCUUCCUCUCAUUUUCCUCCCUAGCAUUAGUUGCUUUGGUGGGAUUUGGGAGAGAAGGACUUGGGCACUCCGUGUGCCCUUGCCAUUGCAUUAGUUGCAUCGUUUGAGUUCUCCACGGUGAUAUGUGGAAGUGAAGUUUGAGAAGCUUAUUACCUUUGGUACUUAGUACCCUAGAUAUUGUUCUUCGUGGAUGCUUUGGCGUCCUAGAAGCUUGGUGGUGUCUCGGAGCUCAAUCAUUGUGGUGUAAAGCUCCGGGCAAGCGUCGGGAUCUCCAAUUAGGUUGUGGAGAUUGCCCCGAGCAAUUUGUAUGGGUAUCGGUGACCGCCCCCAAGGUUUGCCAUUUGUACGGGUUCGGUGACCGCCCUCAAGGGUCCCUUAGUGGAAUCACAGCAUCUUGCAUUGUGCGAGAGCGUGAGGAGAUUACGGUGGCCUUAGUGGCAUCUCGGGGAGCAUUGUGCCUCCACACCGCUCCAACGGAGAUUAGCAUCCGCAAGGGUGUGAAUUUCGAGAUACAUCAUCGUCUUCGCGUGCCUCGGUUAUCUCUUACCCAAACCCUUUACUUAUGCACUUUACUUUGUGAUAGCCAUAUUGUUUAUUGUCAUAUAUCUUGCUAUCACUUAGUUGUUUAUCUUGCUUAGCAUAAGUUUUUGGUGCACAUAGGUGAGCCUAGUUGUUGUAGGUUUUGUGCUUGACAAAUUAAACGUUAGUUUUAUUCCGCAUUUGUUCAAGCCUAAACCGUAAUUAUUUUAAAGCGCCCAUUCACCCCUCCUCUAGGCGACAUCCACGUCCUUUCAAUUGGUAUCAGAGCUAGGUCUCUCUUUAUUAGGUUUAACCACCCAGAGAGUAAGGAUGUCGACUAGGGGUUUAGGAUUCACUGACACUCUUAGUUUCGAUGGCACAUAUUUUGAUGUUUGGGUAAUUCGCAUGCUUAAUCACUUUCGGGUCUUGGACCCAAAUUUAGAGAGAAUUGUAGAUAUGGGUUUUUCUCCUCCAAAGGAUUCUCAAAAUAUAUCUUUAGAGGAUGAGAAAAACUCUUAUCUCAAUGCUCAAGCUUCUAAUGUGCUUUUUGAUGCUUUGAGCAAUGUAGUUAUAUUUCAACUCAUACCAUUCCGGGAUGCUCAUGAGUUGUGGACAAAGCUUCAAGAUAAAUAUGGUAUGUCCAAGAUUUGUGGGAAUGAUUGUUCUCUCUCCACCUCCGGUCGUGUGGUCUUCUCAACUUCAUCUACUUCACCUACAUGUGGAUUGCCACAAGAGGAAAUUCAUCACUCCAUGGAACAAGAUGUGGACUUGAAUGAUGCUUCAAGGGAUCCUACAUCAUCAUCUAUUGUGACUCACUUUUUCCUUAUGGCUAAGGCUUCAAAGGUAUCUCCUACUUUGAAUCCCAAUAUAUCUCAUGAUGAUGAUGUUGAUGAUAAUGGGGAUGAGAAUAGUGAUGAAGAGAGUGAUAAUAUUGCAUCCUUAAAAAUUAAGGGUGAAAUGAUUUUUAAAUCUCUUUAUAAGAAUAAACUUGCUUGUUCCAACUUCUUGGAAAUCAUGUCUAUUGCCACUGAGGGCAAGAAAUACAUUGAGGAGUUGGAAGCUCAUCUCGAGGAACAUGAGGCCACCAUUGAGACAAUGGAAGGUCAUGAGCAUGAAUACGCUAACGAGAUCGCGGAGCUAUCUCAAGCUCUUGAAAAUGAACAAACCACCGAGGAAUCUCUUGAGGAAACCUUUGCUAUAGAAUUAUCUAGAUUAAAGGAAUCCCAUGAUAGAGCUCUCGAGGUGGCUAAUGAUUUUAGAACUAAAAAGAUAAGCUUGAAGUUGCACAUGCUAAACUCGUUGAGGACUAUGAGCACCUCGAAAAUGGCUCAAAGGCUAUUAAGAGUUCGCUCAUCGAACUCACCGAGUCUCAUGCUCAACUUGAAGCUUCAUAUGCUAAAGAGCUUGCCAAGUUGCCUUCUCCUCUCAUUGUUAAUAAUGAUGUUUGUGCUACUAAUUCUACUUCUUGUGAAGCAUCCAUUUUAGAGGAGAAUGUUGAUCUAAGGGCUCAACACGAGUUGCUAUCUAGCAAUUAUGGGAAAAUGGAAGAAAGUCAUGUAGUGCUCACAAGCUCUCAUGAUGAUCUUCUAGUAUCCCAUAAUGUGCUAAAAUUAGCUCAUGAGGCUAUUUCUACCAAGGUAACAUCGAGUGAGCCUCAUGUGGACAUUAGCGAUACUUCUUGUCAAAAAGCUAUAUUGCCAUGUUCUAGUCCUCGUAAUUCAUCUACUCACAAUGUUGCUACAUCUUGUGAUGAAUUACUUUCCAUGCCUUGUUGCUCUAACAAUGAAGCUUAUACUUCCUCUAGUACCUGUGUUGAUACUAACCAUGUAGAGGAAAUCAAAGAGCUCAAGGCCCAAGUCACUUCCUUGAAGAAAGACUUGGAAAAGAGUCAUGAAGGAAUGUCCACACUCAACAAUGUCUUGUGUGGGAAAAAAAAAUCCCCAAAUGACAAAUAUGGACUUGGAUUCAACUCCAACAAGAAGAAUAAGUCCAAAAGCUUCAAGAAGAAGGGCCAAGAACAAGUCAAGAAAUCGGCCAAGAUUAUUUGCUUCAAGUGCAAAAUUGAAGGGCACCAUGUUAGAUCUUGCCCACUAAAGAAGAAGCCCCAAAUUCACAAGCAACAAGGGAAGAGGCCACAAGUGCACUCACAUACUCAACUACAAGUUGAAGAAAGGCCCCUUCCCAAGAAGACCCAAGCUAACACUCCUCAUGUUGAGAAAUCAAUAGGGAAGAAAUUAAAGGGUAGAUGUUGCUACUUAUGUCGUGAGAAGGGUCACUUCGCUUCUUCUUGCACGAGAGGUAAUUUAUCCAACCCAAUCAUUAUUGAUGAUAUCUAUUCACUUGGGAAGGAUAAGGUUGACAAUGUGUUUGCCAAGUUUGUUGGUACUCAAAGUAGUGUCAAGAAAAGUACCAUUUGGGUUGCCAAGCCUAUUGUGACUAACCUCUUAGGACCCAACGUGGUUGGGGACCAACAAGCUCAAACUUGAUCAAUAGGUGUUUGUGGAGGACAUUAGAGACUUGGAUACAUAAUGAAGAAUUAAGGAGUCUUCAUCAGUCAUAUUUUCUCAAGCCAAGUCAUUUGGAUUAUCGAGUUUCUAUCUUAUAUCCAAUGUGCCUCCUUACGGUAACUUGUACUUAAAUUGUUUACAUUGUUAGUUGCUUGCCCCUUUGCAUGUUGUGGUUUUGUACCUUGCAUGUGUUUGUACAUGUUGUGCUGCCAACUUUCUUAUGUUGAGUAAUCGAGUAUGUGUAUGUUGGUUUGCAUAUCAUGUACAUGUGAGUCUUGUAUUGAGCCUUUUUUGCAUCUUGUUUGUAUCUUUGUUGGCUCUUGUGAGAGAUUAAUGGAUUAUCCCAUUGUGGGGGAGUGAUGUGCUUUGCACACCUCACAAUCCUAUAAAUGUGUAUACAUGGGGAAUACCACUUAGGAUUGAUAUUUCAAGAUUAUCUAGUUUCUAUGUGGUAUGUCUUACUCAUGAGAAAUUCAAAUUCUAUAUGGUCCAUUAAUUAUCUCUUGUUGGUUUUAAUUUGCCACUUGUUAAUAUUGUUGGGUUAUCACAUUACGGCGGAGUAAUAUGCUAUGUGCAUAUUACAAGCCUAGAGAAUGUGUACAUUUGAGGUAUUGCCACUUAGUGUUGAUAUUGUAAAUUAUCUUGUUCCUAGGUGGCAUGUUUGCUCUACAAGUGUCAUUUGCAUGCGUUUUAUGCGUAAAGAUGAUCUUGGAUAUAUUUGCGAUCUACCAAUGAGUAUCAUUUCCAAAAUACUUCUUGUCCUUGACAAUUGGUAUUCCCAUCAUGUGGUAGGACUUGCUAAUCGUCUUUAAAUUGGAUUUUGUGUUUCGUUUGUCUUCCUUGCCUCUUGUGGAUCUAUUUUAACAUGUCUAGUGUUUUUAUAUCUAGAGAGAAAGUGAUGAUCCCAUCUUGUUCAUUUUGUAUUUAAAUGCAAUUGUAUAUAAUGCACAUCCCUUGGGGGAGCUAUCCUAUUUUCUUUAGAACACUCUCUUUAUUCGCCCAUCAUAAAAUCUUUUGAUCCCCAUCAAGUGUGUGUUGAUGGGAGGCAAGUCUUGCUCUUUAUGAUGCUUUGUGCCAUCAUGAAAAUUUGUCGAGGGUUUGGUUUGUUGGAACCUAGCUCUCUUUUGGAAGCUAGAUACCUCGUGUUUGUUUUGCUUCAAUUGGUAUCUUGUUUCCUUUUAUUUGGCAUGUGUAAAUGGAUAUCUCAUUCCUUGACGUAUCUUUUAAUUGAUAUCCUUCAAGUGAUAGUUUUUUGUUUGGUAUCUUAUUAUCACUUGAUACCUUGUCUUUUGGUGUAUUAUCAACUUUGUGUUGAGUUGAUUAUUGAAAGCCUUGAGCAUGCAUAUUUACUAUAUAUAGCUUCUUUUGCUUGCUUUCUUUCUUUGACCCAAUAUAUAGGGGAAAAUCCACCUUUUCAUAAAUUGGCUAAAGUGUGCAUGAAAUUCAAAUUCAUAUAUAUGUGCACAUAUUUAUGUGGAGUUUGUCCUAUGUAUUGUUGGUUUUCUAACUAUUUGGUCCCAAUGAGUUUGGGCACCAUUUUGUUUGUUUUGAUGUUCCAGGAACAACUGGAGAUGCAUUGGAUGCUCGGCUCACCUAUAAGGAAGGUGUUGAGACCAUGUGAUUAUUGGAGCCAAGUUAGGAUGAUCAAAGAACAACUAUCUACUACAUCAAUCCAAUGUUGUCUCGGUAACAAGUAUCCACUUCAUGCAUCCUUUUCUUGCAAAGGCCCCAACCUAUCUUUUCUUUUCCGGGUUGCAUCAUGGCAUGAAUCUCAUGAUUCGUUCUUGUAGUACUUGUUUCCUUUCUCAAAGCAUCUGAACGAUGAUGUCUUACUACUAUUUGGGAUGUCUUUGAUGUUCGUAUGUUGGAAGUUCAUAUUGUACAAUAAGAAAAUAUUAGGCCAUGUGCUAUGCUUCCAAGCAAAAGACCUUAUUGAUACAUUUAUGACUUCCUUUUGGAUAUCUAGUUUGUUCCUUCUUGUAACCAUUUCGUGUGUACAUCCUUGUUUGUGGAUAUAUAUCAUCAUGAUUGUCUUCUACUUAGAAUCUUUUACACAUGAGAGAAGUUACAUCUCUUAUUGAUAUCCUCUUUUCUUUCACGUCCACCGUUGCAUUUACUUUUUCAGUUUUUGGUGGCUUCGUGAAAGGAUUUGUCUUGAGUGCGUAUCUUAUUUUCCUACAUCUUGAUGCACUUUUUGGUCUUGAAGAUUAUUUUUCCUCAUGCUUGUCUUGAUGAGGGUUUUUCCAUUUCGAUUGGUAUCCCUCCUCUUGACAAGGUUCUUACUUCCUAUCUUCACCAUGGGUUGUCACAAGCGUUGGUUCUUAUUUUGUUUAUCAGUAAGCUUGUGAAACCAUUUUCUAGUAUGUGUGUGUGGGAAUUAUAUGUCUUGCACUUUGUGUCUCAUUUCAUCAAGACUAUGUUGAUGAGUAAUGCUCAUCCUUAUCUUAGUCUUCUCAAGUGCUUUGCCAUGACUCACACACAUUAUUUUGGUUGAGUCUAUUCUUAAGUUGCUUCUUUUACAUGUUGCUCAACCAUUUGUUUUGUGCAAUUGAUAUGCUUAUUGUCUCAUCUAUCUUCUUUCACUCGUUGUGUGUUUUUAUUAAUUUUGGGGGGCAACAAUCCUAUUUUGUGCACUUGUAUCAAAUACAAAAAUCUCGUAUUAGUGCACAAAUCAUGGGGAGCUUCUCUAGUUUUGAUAAAACACUCUGUUGCCUUUAUGAUAAUAUCUUUUAUUCAUGUGGUUCGAAGGACCAUAUGAUUGUUUGUUCCAUCUGGUAUCUUUUGAUUGCUUGCCUCUAUUUUUUGUAUGUCUUUGUGGCAUACGAUCCUUUUAUUUACAAUCUUUGGGUCCUCAAUAUAGUUUGUUUUCCUCCAACUACUUUUCAUUGUAUUUGCGUAUUUCUUUGAACUCAUUUGCUGAGAAGUACACACUUUUUGGAGGACCACCUACUAUAUUGGCUUUCUAAACUUUUCGUCCAUUUUGGCAAUCGAUGCCAAUGGGGGAGAAGUUUAGAGAGUUUAAUUUGGAUAUGUUUAGAGGAUUUUGCUUUUAUUGCGUAAGCAUUUACAUCUUGCACGCAUGCAUUAUUGCUUUGUAUGUGUGCACUUGCUUAUGCUUAUUUCCUGAUAUAAACUCUCUUGAAGUGGUUGUCAUCAAUUACCAAAAUGGGGGAGAUUGUUAGAGCAUAUAUCUCCAUAUGUGGUUUUGGUAAUUGAUGACAAUUCCUAUGGACUAAUGGUUGCCUUAAGUUAUAUUUAUAGGAUUUGUCCAUAGGCACUUCUUGAAGUCCAUCCGUUGAGUUCAAGGAGUUUAUAUGAUGACCAAGAUGUUAUUCAAGGUAUUAUCCAAAGAAUGGUCAUAGAUACACAAGGUUGAUCAAGAUCUCAGACAAAGAGUAAAUCAAGAUGAUCAACACACAAAGCGUACAAGAUGUACCGAGAGGGAUCAAGUGAUCCCAUGGUAUGGUAAGCAUUGUCCAUUACGUGUUUGUGUACUAACCCAUGGUCUUUAUGAGAGUUCUAUGUGGGGGUUAGGUGUGCUUCCAUGGGCUUGCGUCAAAAGGAAGAUCUCAUACAACCCAUGAAGGAUGACGUCAAGUGGUGAUCGUCAUCAAGAUUGCGGUGUGCAAGUUCAAGUGGAUCAACACGAAUAUAUCAUGCUUGAUGCUUGCCGUCCAUUGUGGUGGCAAUGGACUUGUGAAGAUAUUCUGAAGAGCGGCUCACCCAUAGUGUGUAUGGGGGAGCAAUCAACUAGUCUUCAUCAAGCCAACACAAUCAAGAAAGGUGGUCCAUCUUGAGGAAGCCAAGAUCAUCGUCAUCUAGCUCAAUAGAACGAGGCGCAAGGUAUAGGUUUGCCCUUGAUAGGUUUUCUAUUUUAGGAUAGAUUGUCGUACUGUCAUGGGGGCUCUUAAGUGAGUAGCUUCAUCGUAUCGUUCGUUGAGAGCUCAAACCAUCUGCAUCCUUGCAUCAUACUUCUUGGUUCUUGUUUGGUGUUUCUCCUUAUGAGUUUUAGAGCUUAUGUUCAUCUUCAUGAAAAGCUCGAGUUCAUCGAAAACGAAGUCCAUAUGCAUCUUCUAUGAUGUUUUCGAUGUUGGGAGUUUUACCGGUCUUAUUCGAAUAAGGGUUCUCACCAUUUUCUUAUGGGACUUUUCUCACUUGCUUCUUAUUGAUAUUUCUAUCAAGAUUGUGUUAGCCCAUGUCGUUAGCUUUCCAACAAACUUGGUUUCAUUGAAUUCGGAGUCCGUAUGCGAAAGUUACAUCAGUUUUAGUAUCCAGCGGUAGUACCGCUCCUGUAGCGGUAGUACCGCUCCUGUAGCAGUAGUAUCGCCCCCGGAACGGUAGUAAUUUUUACUUACCGCUCCCUAGCGGUAGUACCGCUCCACGAGCGGUAGUACCGCUCCGUCGGACCGKUUUUUUGCAUACUUUUUGGCCUCAGCAUGGUUGGUGAACCUACCGAGCGGUAGUACCGCUCCAUGAGCGGUAGUACCGCUCUGUGCGGACUGUGAAGCAUAACGGUUGGACUUUUCCCCACCUAUAAAAGGGGGUCUUCUUCCCCAUUGCUCCUAAUCUCUUUAGCUCGCGUUCUUCCCCCAUUGUUGACCUUCUUCGAGCUUGUUAACUCUCAAUCCCUCCAAUGAUUCUUGCUAGUUCUUGAGGGAAAGAGAGAGGAGAUCNNNNNNNNNNNNNNNNNNNNNNNNNNNNNNNNNNNNNNNNNNNNNNNNNNNNNNNNNNNNNNNNNNNNNNNNNNNNNNNNNNNNNNNNNNNNNNNNNNNNGAAGGCCAUGGAGGCGGAAAUGGAGUCCAUACAGUCCAAUCAUACGUGGGAUCUUGCCACACUCCCAGCGGGUCACCGUGCGAUCGGUUUGAAGUGGGUAUACAAAGUGAAACGAGACCCGGCGGGAAACAUAGUGAAGCACAAGGCUCGACUGGUGGCGAAGGGAUACGCUCAGAAACAGGGGAUUGAUUUCGACGAGGUCUUUGCUCCUGUGGCUCGACUGGACACCGUGCGCAUUCUCAUUGCGUUGGUUGGACAUCGUAGCUGGAGUGUGCACCACAUGGACGUCCGAUCAGCAUUCCUCAACGGGGAGUUGGAGGAGGAGGUGUACGUGAGCCGGCGGGUUUCAUCGACAACAACAAUGCUGACAAGCUGCUCAAGCUGCGGAAGGCUCUGUACGGGCUACGACAAGCACCACGGGCAUGGAAUGCAAAAUUAGACUUCACACCGCAGUCCCUUGGUUUCGAGAGGUGCAAGCUCGACCAUGCUCUGUAUAGGCGGGGUAGCGAAGCUGAUUACCUGCUGGUAGGGGUGUAUGUGGAUGAUCUGAUCAUCACAGGCACCACUGCUGGAGAGAUUGCACGUUUCAAAACCCAGAUGCAAGAGUUGUUUCAGAUGACAGAUCUUGGGCUGCUCAGCUACUACCUAGGGAUCGAAGUGAAGCAGGAGGCUGACAUGAUCACUGUAUGCCAGUCAGGCUAUGCGGCCAAGAUUCUGGAGGACGAGGACAUGGUGGACUGCAACCCUAGCUACACACCAAUGGAGAAUCCUCUGAAAGUGAGGAAGAACACCGGAGAAGCGGUGGACACCACCAGAUACCGCAGUGUCGUCGGCAGUUUGAGGUACUUGGUCAACACACGACCAGAUAUAGCUUAUGCUGUGGGGGUGGCCAGUAGGUUCAUGGAAGCUCCGGGCAAACAACAUUGGUUGAUCAUCAAGCAGAUUCUCAGGUAUAUCAAGGGGACUCUCGGGUACGGGUGCACCUAUAAGGCAGGAGGAGGUACUGCACUGACAGGAUACGGUGACAGUGACCAUGCGGGCGAUCUAACCAACAUGAAGAGCACCACGGGACUCGUCUUCUUCCUCGGUCCAAGCAUCAUCACUUGGUGUUUGCAGAAGCAGAAGAUCGUAGCUUUGUCGUCCUACGAGGCCGAGUACAUUGCAGCUGCGACAGCAUCCAUGCAAGCAGUUUGGCUCAGCACGCUGGUCUCAGAGAUCCUUGGAACUUAGAACCAGACAGUGCAGCUAAACGUCGACAACCGAUCAGCUAUCGAGCUGAGCAAGACUCCAGUGCACCACGAGAGGAGCAAACACAUUGACCUGCGCUAUCACUAUAUCAGGGAAUGUGUGGAAGAAAGAAAGGUGGAAGUGAAGCACGUUAGAACCGAGGAUCAGCUGGCAGACUUGCUGACGAAGUCGCUUGGGCGCGUGAAGUUUACGAAGCUCCGGUGCCGCCUCGGGAUUGUUCUUGUCAAGAAGGAGCAACAUGAUUAGGGGGUGAUUUGAAGGAUAAUCCCGUUGCCAACUUUGAUUCAAACCUUAGCUGAAUAAGCGAGCCGUCAGCGUGCACGUACGGUUCAGUGUAGUUUUCUUUCUUCAGAUAAGUUAGUUAGUGGCUUUAGAAUCGCCGGCAAGACCGCUUCAUGGGAUGGCAUGAAAGUCGCCGGAUUGACGGCGUCGUAGUUCCCUCCACAAGCAUAGCAUCGUGGGAUGGCACGAUCAGUAGGCUGGGCUGCGCGGGUGUGGGUUUUUCCCCUAUGUAAUCGGCAGGAGAGUUGGUUCUCUGAUAGCCUGAAUAACAGAACAACCGAAAACGCUGCAAGUUAGUUCAGCAGCUCCAAAACCCUCGUCUCUCUCCUUUCGCUCUAUCGGGCUGUUGAUUACUCUUUGUCGAUCGCGUUUCAGCCAGGUUUUGCAACAAUAGCCCAGGCUUUCGCCCGGCGACCGCACCGGCUCCAAGCACCGACCGCACCGCGCCUGUCCGCCUGGCCGCUGCCCCGCGCAAGUGGUCCGCUGCCUGGCAGCGCCGCGCCCACCCGUGCCCGCGCCUGCGCCCGGCAUCGUCAAGUCGUGGCCGCCCACACUCCGCCCGUUGGCCGCGAUGAGGCCUCGCCCUCGGCCGCCCGCCCCAAGGCUCUCGCCCUCGCCCGCCGCGCCGGCUCGCGUCACGCCAUGCUCCGCCCGCGGGACACGGCCACCGCGCCGUUGGACGUGGCCACAUCGUGGCUGCGCGGAGACGAUGCUCGCCGCCUGGGCCCUCUUCCAGCUCUGCCAACGGCUGCUUUCGGCCUCGCCUUCGUCGUUGCCUCUUGGUCCUCGGCGUGCCGCUCUCUAGCCCGUCGUCGAGCCGCCGGGGCCGCUGCACCGGCGCAUGGAGCUCGACCACUCUCGGACUCGCGAAUGACGCGACUUCAGGCUCCAGCCUCCCUCGUGGAUCUUCCCCAAAGGAGGAAGAUGGGGCGCCCGGCCACUCCACGAGUCGUCGGUGAUGCAUCUGCCAUGGGCGGCUUUCGCGUGUGUUGGUCUCGGAUGCAUCGCGUGAUUUGGGGGAUGGAUGAUACUGGGAUUUCUCUGGUCGCUCCCGCCUCUANNNNNNNNNNNNNNNNNNNNNNNNNNNNNNNNNNNNNNNNNNNNNNNNNNNNNNNNNNNNNNNNNNNNNNNNNNNNNNNNNNNNNNNNNNNNNNNNNNNNCCGGGUCGUUUGGUGUUCUCGAGGGUGGACACGUGGCGUCGUGCGCUGAUCGUGCACGUUAUCAUUCCUCUUGUUUUUAUCUUUACAUCUUUACCUAUAUAUAUAUAUUACCCACUCAUAAGUAAAGAAAACGUUUCAGAUUUUUCCCAAGUCGCCAUGCGAUCUGUUAUUAUAAAGGGCAGAUACGAACAUAGAACAUAGAAACUCUUCCGCCAUAGUGGCUAAGUCACGUCAGUUCUACGCAUGUGACUAGGGUUCGACCUCACUUUUUGCAGUUUUUCCUUUUCAUUUUCUCAUACAUUGUCCUUAGCCGGGCGUGUUCGGAAGUGGUGAAUUAUAAAUUAUUAUAAUAUAAAGACUUUUUUUCGUUUCGUUUUUUCUUUCAUCUUUUUCUCAUUUUGUUCUCAUCCUUCUACUCCCUCCGUUUUUAAAUAUAAGACCUUUUAGAAAUUUCAAAAGUGGUGAAUUAUAAAAAUGUUCGCAAAAUUAUAAAUUGUUUGUGAAUUCAAUUUUUUUAGGAAAUCAUAAAAGUUUUGUGGAUUCAAACAAUAUUGGUGUAUUUGUAAAAAAAUCAUGAUUCGAAAAAAAUAGGGAGGAAAUGAUCGUGUGUUCAAAACUUAUUCGGGAAUCCGAAAUAAGUGUCCAUCAAAUUUAGAAAAUGUACACAAAAAGGAAAAAACAAAAUUUCAAAAAUUUGUUCCCUGCUUUUAAAAAUGUUGAGUGAUCUAAAAAAUGUUUGUUGAGUCAAAAAAUGUUCAUGAACUUGAAAACUUUUUGUGCAUUUCAGAAAAUCUUCAUAAACAAAACUAAUGUUCGUGAUUUUUUGUGAAAAUCCAAAAUUUCAAAAAAGGACGAUUUAAAAGCUAUUCACGAAUUCAGAGUCUUUUAUGUCUAGGAUUAGAUUAGAUUUUCGAAAGUAUUUAUAUGUAUAGACGUGGGAGUAGUUUGUGGCCGAUGAGAUUUGUUUUCACAGAGCCCAUGUUAUUAAGGGGCUUAGCUAGCUAGUGUGCGUCCCCUAAAAUACAGGUAGCUUGUGCCUCUCAUGUGCUAGCUUUUCUUGCGUUCUAUCGUUCUUUCUUGUGAGAGCGACCUAAUAUGUCCCGUUUCAUGCGCGUAUUUUUUCCUCCACCUAUAAGCAUAUCAGAACAUUUUCUUGCGCGGGUUAGCGCUCAUCAGGGACGGUGGGUGGCCAACUUGAGGCAGCAAUAUUGUCAUGCAUCUUCUUCCACCGGAAGAUUGACAGAGAGGGUGAUGAUGGCAAGGUAAAGAUUACCUGGGCGUGUUUCGGUACAACAUCAUAACGAACACAACAAACUAAGUUACGCUGGAGAACUUUGACGGCAUGACUCUAGCGGCCAUCAACGAGACCAAGAACUUCUGGACUGCAUCGAUGACGAAGACGAGGCCGGCCAGGAGGUAGAUGGUCCCUCAAUAAACAAAAGGUUCUCUGUAUGGAUCCUCCUCCUUGUUGGCAUUGGUCACGGGUCGUCCUUCCGGAUCAAGGACCUUCCCCCGGUAACUUCCCUCCCAGCUCUCUCUUGAUGUGUGUGUGUAUGGGUGAUGCGAGGCCUCUGGUGUGGUGUUCCCUGUACAACUUAUUGGAAUCGCUGAAGUAGAUGACGAGGUACAGCGGCAAGGAGCCACCAGUGCGUAUUGUGACACGACACUGACUGCUUGGCGGCGUGGAAGGCCAGGCUGAACUGACUGCUUGGCGGCGUGGAUUGGUGUCUUGCUGCGUGUAGGGCAGGGGUACCGCCGUUCAUUGAAGCCGCCUGGCCGGGGCUCGGGCGCGGCAGCAUGGCGUCGGGCCGUUGCCGGUGGCGCCCGUCGCCGUCGAGUUUACCAGGGAGGAAGAGGGUCGGCGGCAACCAAGCUCUUCCCCAGGGUACCGAAGUGGAUCCUCCGGCCAUUCUCACCGCUACCUGUCUCGUGAUCAUGUUUAGUGUGCAGCCGCCUAGCCCGUUGAAGGGUCCCGACGGCAAAGGCGAGGCCGCGGACUGUGACAAGGAGCUCCGGCGUGAGAAGAAGGUGGCCACGCGGGCACGUGCCAAGGCCAGUACCAAGCGGCACGAUACGGGGAGUGCCAAGAGGAAGAGGGACGAGCAGGAGCGACUCAACGCCAAGGAGGCCGACUACCGUCAUUCAUGGGAGGAAGGUUCAUUUUGUCCCCAUCGUACAUGAUGAGAGCCGGCGCGGGGAGGCAACACGGACGUGUGGAGACAAGAGGGCGGAGCCGCGCGCGUACGUGGAGGUGCUCGUGGGAUGAGGAUGGAGGCCUCCUUGCCGGGGCUCGAAGGCCGUAGCACAUGCGAAAGAGGUGCGUGAGCUCGUCCACGGGCAUCCAUCUAUGGAAGCGGCGUGCAAACACGCUAGUCGUCGGUAGGUCGCGCGGUGUAGGCCUCCGAAGUGGCGUGCUUCCUGCAGUGCUCGGUAGUAUUUAUCGUCUUUUGGGCUAUUAUUACACUUCACGGUAAAAUACUUAUGCCUUUUCUCUCUUAUUUUAUAAGGUUUACAUGAAGAGGAAGAAUGCCGUUAACUGAAAUUCUGAUCUGAAAAAGGAGCAAGUUUGAGAUACCUAUUCUUCGCAACUCCAAAAGCCGUGAAAAUCAACGAGGAAUUAUUUUGAAAUUUAUAAAAAAAUACUAGACGGAAGAAGUACCAGAGGGGAGCCACCAGAAGGCCACAAACCUGCCAGGCGCGGCCUACCCCCUGGCCGCGCCUAGGUGGCUUGUGGGCCCCUGUUGCCCCUCUGGCUCCCAUCUUUUGCUAUAAUGAGGGUUCCGUUCCAGAAAAAAAUCAAGAGGAGGCUUUCAGGAGGAGUCGCCGCCGCCACGAGGCGGAACUUGAGCAGAGCCAAUCUAGAGCUUCGGCAGGGUCGUUCUGCCGGGGAAACUUCCCUCCUGGAGGGGGAAAUCGUCGCCAUCGUCAUCACCAACACUCCUCUAAUCGGAGAGGACUCAUAACCAUCAACAUCUUCAUCAACACCAUCUCAUCUCCAAACCCUAGUUCAUCUCUUGUAACCAAUCUCCGUCUCGAGACUCCGAUUGUUACUUGUAAGGUUGCUAGUAGUGUUAAUUACUCUUUAUAGUUGAUGCUAGUUGGAUUACUCAGUGGAAGAUUAUAUAUUCAGAUCCUUGAUGCUAUUCAAUACCUCUCUGGUCAUGAACAUAAUUAUGCUUUGUGAGUAGUCACUUUUGUUCCUGAGGACAUGGGAUAAGUCUUGCUAUAAGUAGUCAUGUGAAUUUGGUAUUCGUUCGAUAUUUUGAUGCGUUGUAUGUUGUCUCUCCUCUAGUGGUGUUAUGUGAACGUCGACUACAUAACAUUUCACCAUUAUUUGGGCCUAGAGAAAGGCAUUGAGAAGUAAUAAGUGGAUGAUGGGUUGCUAGAGUGACAGAAGCUUAAACCCUAGUUUAUGUGUUGCUUCGUAAGGAGCUGAUUUGGAUCCACUAGUUUAAUGCUAUGGUUAGAAUUUGUCUUAAUUCUUCUUUCUUAGUUGCGGAUGCUUGCGAGUGGGGUUAUUCAUAAGUGGGAUGUUUGUCCAAGUAAGGGCAGCACCCAAGCACCGGUUCACCCACAUAUCAAACUAUCAAAGUAGCGAACUCGAAUCAUAUGAACAUGAUGAAAACUAGCUUGAUAGAAAUUUCCAUGUGUCUUCGGGAGCGCUUUACCUCCUAUAAGAGUUUGUCCAGGCUUGUCCCUUGCUACAAAAGGGAUUGGGCCACUUUGCUGCACCUUUGUUACUAUUGUUACUUGCUACUUGCUACGAAUCAUCUUAUCACACAACUAUCUGUUACCGAUAAUUUCAGUGCUUGCAGAGAAUACCUUGCUGAAAACCACUUGCCAGUUCCUUCUGCUCCUCGUUGGGUUCGACACUCUUACUUAUCGAAAGGACUACGAUAGAUCCCUACACUUGUGGGUCAUCAAGACUCUUUUCUGGCGUCGUUGCCGGGGAGUAAAGCGCCUUUGGUAAGUGGAAUUUGGUAAGGAAACAUUUAUAUAGUGUGCUGACAUUUAUUGUCACUUGUCACUAUGGAAACUAAUCCUUUGAGGAGCUUGUUCGGGGUAUCUUCACCUCGAACGGAAGCACAAGGAGUUGCUCCUCAACCUGCUGCACCUACUGAAAAUAUUUGUUAUGAAAUUCCUUCGGAUAUGCUAGAGAAACUGUUGGCUAAUCCUUUUACAGGAGAUGGAACAUCACAUCCCGACUUGCAUCUAAUCUAUGUAGAUGAAGUUUGUGGUUUAUUUAAGCUUGCAGGUUUGCCCGGGAUGAGGUCAAGAAGAAGGUCUUUCCCUUAUCUUUGGGGGAUAAAGCAUUGACAUGGUAUAGGCUAUGUGAUGACACUGGAUCAUGGAACUACAACCGAUUGAAAUUGGAAUUUCAUCAAAAGUUUUAUCCUAUGCAUUUGGUACAUCGUGAUCGGAAUUAUACCUAUAAUUUUUGGCCUCGUGAUAGAGAAAGUAUCGCUCAAGCUUGGGGGAGGCUUAAAUCAAUGUUAUAUUCAUGCCCCAACCAUGAGCUCCCAAGAGAAAUUAUUAUUCAAAACUUUUAUGCUCGUCUUUCUCAUGAUAAUCGCACCACGCUUGACACUUCUUGUACCGGUUCUUUUAUGAAGAGAGAUAUUGACUUCAAAUGAAAUUUAUUGGAAAGAAUUAAACGCAAAUCUGAAGAUUGGGAGUUUGAUGAAGGUAAGGAGUUGCUGCCUCUUGAGCUUGCGUUGGUUUUUCCCUUGAAGAUGAAAGGGUGAUGCAACACAGGAGCAGUAAGUAUUUCCCUCAGUUUGAGAACCAAGGUAUCAAUCCAGUAGGAGAAUCGCGCCAAGUCGAGAGUACCUGCGCAAACACAAAAGAGCUUGCACCCAACGCUAUAAAGGGGUUGUCAAUAUCUUCAAGAUUGAUUGCAAAGUGAGAUCUGAAGGCGGAAAGUGCAAUGAAGUAAAAGAGUAAGGAUGAAAAUAUGGUGUGAAGUAGACCCAGGGGCCAUAGUGUGUGGGAACGUCGCAUGGGAAAUAAAAAAUUUCCUACGCGCACGAAGACCUAUCAUGGUGAUGUCCAUCUACGAGAGGGGAUUUCCGAUCUAUGUACCCUUGUAGAUCGAACAGCAGAAGCGUUAGUGAACGCGGUUGAUGUAGUGGAACGUCCUCACGUCCCUCGAUCCGCCCCGCGAACCGUCCCAUGAACCGUCCCUCGAUCCGUCCCACGAUCUAGUGCCGAACGGACGGCACCUCCGCGUUCAGCACACGUACAGCUCGACGAUGAUCUCGGCCUUCUUGAUCCAGCAAGAGAUACGGAGAGGUAGAUGAGUUAUCCGGCAGCGUGACGAUGCUCCGGAGGUUGCUGGUGAUCUAAUCUCAGCAGGGCUCCGCCCGAGCUCCGCAGAAACACGAUCUAGAGGUAAAACCGUGGAGGUAUGUGGUCGGGCUGCCGUGGCAAAAUUGUCUUAAAUCAGCCCUAAUAGCUCCAUAUAUAUAGGAGGAGGGGAGGGGAGGCUUGCCUUGAGGCUCAAGGAGCCCCAAGGGCUGCGCCACCAAGGGAGGAGGAGUCCUCCUUCAAUCCUAGUCCAACUAGGAUUGGAAGGUGGAGUCCUUCUCUCCUUUCCCACCUCCUUUUUUUUCUUUUCUCUUUGAUUUUCUAUUUAUGACGCAUAGGGCCUUCUUGGGCUGUCCCACCAGCCCACCAAGGGCUGGUGCGCCACCCCCAAGGCCUAUGGGCCUCCCCGGGGUGGGUUGCCCCCCCGAUGCACACCCGGAACCCAUUCGUCAUUCCCGGUACAUUCCCGGUAACUCCGAAAACCUUCCGGUAAUCAAAUGUGGUCAUCCUAUAUAUCAAUCUUCGUUUCCGGACCAUUCCGGAAACCCUCGUGACGUCCGUGAUCUCAUCCGGGACUCCGAACAACAUUCGGUAACCAACCAUAUAACUCAAAUACGCAUAAAACAACAUCGAACCUUAAGUGUGCAGACCCUGCGGGUUCGAGAACUAUGUAGACAUGACCCGAGUGACUCCUCGGUCAAUAUCCAAUAGCGGGACCUGGAUGCCCAUAUUGGAUCCCACAUAUUCUACGAAGAUCUUAUCGUUUGAACCUCAGUGCUAGGGAUUCAUAUAAUCCCGUAUGUCAUUCCCUUUGUCCUUCGGUAUGUUACUUGCCCGAGAUUCGAUCGUCAGUAUCCGCAUACCUAUUUCAAUCUCGUUUACCGGCAAGUCUCUAUACUCGUUCCGUAAUACAAGAUCCCGCAACUUACACUAAGUUGCAUUGCUUGCAAGGCUUGUGUGUGAUGUUGUAUUACCGAGUGGGCCCCAAGAUACCUCUCCGUCACACGGAGUGACAAAUCCCAGUCUCGAUCAAUACUAACUCAACGAACACCUUCGGAGAUACCUGUAGAGCAUCUUUAUAGUCACCCAGUUACGUUGCGACGUUUGAUACACACAAAGCAUUCCUCCGGUGUCAGUGAGUUAUACGAUCUCAUGGUCAUAGGAACAAAUACUUGACACGCAGAAAACAGUAGCAACAAAAUGACACGAUCAACAUGCUAUGUCUAUUAGUUUGGGUCUAGUCCAUCACGUGAUUCUCCUAAUGACGUGAUCCAGUUAUCAAGCAACAACACCUUGUACAUAGUCAGAAGACCCUGACUAUCUUUGAUCAACUGGCUAGCCAACUAGAGGCUUGCUAGGGACAGUGUUUUGUCUAUGUAUCCACACAUGUAUAUAAGUCUUCAUUCAAUACAAUUAUAGCAUGGAUAAUAAACGAUUAUCUUGAUACAUGAAUUAUAAUAAUAACUAUAUAUUUAUUAUUGCCUCUAGGGCAUAAUUUCAAUAGUCUCCCACUUGCACUAGAGUCAAUAAUCUAGCCCUCACAUCACCAUGCGAAUUACAUUGUAAUAAAUCUAACACCCAUACAGUUCUGGUGUUGAUCAUGCUUUGCCCGUGGAAGAGGUUUAGUCAGCGGGUCUGCUACAUUCAGAUCUGUGUGCACUUUGCAUAUAUUUACGUCCUCCCCUUCGACGUAGUCGCAGAUGAGGUUGAAGCAUCGUUUGAUGUGUCUGGUCUUCUUGUGAAACCGUGGUUCCUUUGCUAAGGCAAUGGCACCCGUGUUGUCACAGAACAAUGUUAUUGGAUUCAGUGCGCUUGGCACCACUCCAAGAUCCAUCAUGAACUGCUUCAUCCAGACACCCUCCUUAGCCGCCUCCGAGGCAGCCAUGUACUCCGCUUCACAUGUAGAAUCAGCUACGACGCUUUUCUUGGAACUGCACCAGCUUACCGCACCCCCAUUGAGAAUAAAUACGUAUCUGAUCUGCGACUUAGAGUCGUCCGGAUCUGUGUCAAAGCUUGCAUCGACGUAACCCUUUACGACGAGCUCUUCGUCACCUCCAUACACGAGAAACAUCUCCUUAGUCCUUUUCAGGUACUUCAGGAUAUUCUUGACCGCCGUCCAGUGAUCCACUCCUGGAUUACUCUAGAACCUGCCUGCCAUACUUAUGGCCAGGCUAACGUCCGGUCUAGUGCACAGCAUUGCAUACAUGAUAGAUCCUAUGGCUGAAGCAUAGGGGACGGUGCUCAUAUGCUCUCUAUCUUUAUCAGUUGCUGGGCACUGAGUCUUACUCAAUCUCGUACCUUGUAAAUCUAGCAAGAACCCUUUCUUGGACUGUUCCAUUUUGAACCUCUUCAAAACUUUAUCAAGGUAUGUGCUUUGUGAAAGUCCUAUCACGCGUUUCGAUCUAUCCCUGUAGAUCUUAAUGCCUAGAAUGUAAGCAGCUUCUCCUAGGUCCCUCGUAGAGAAACUUUUAUUCAAGUAAUCCUUUAUGCUCUCCAAAAACUCUACGUUGUUUCCAAUUAGUAAUAUGUCAUCCACAUAUAAUAUUAGAAACGCCACAGAGCUCCCACUCACUUUCUUGUAAAUACAAGAUUCUCCAACCACUUGUAUAAACCCAAAUGCUUUGAUCACCUCAUCAAAACGUUUAUUCCAACUCCGAGAUGCUUGCACCAGUCCAUAAAUGGAUUGCUGGAGCUUGCAUACCUUGUUAGCAUUUUUAGGAUCGACAAAACCUUCGGGUUGCAUCAUAUACAACUCUUCCUUAAGGAAACCGUUAAGGAACGCCGUUUUGACAUCCAUCUGCCAGAUUUCAUAAUCGAAAAAUGCAGCUAUUGCUAACAUGAUUCUGACAGACUUAAGCAUCGCUACGUGUGAGAAUGUCUCAUCAUAGUCAACUCCUUGAACUUGUGAAAAACCCUUUGCCACAAGUCGAGCUUUAUAAACGGUCACAUUGCCGUCAGCGUCCGUCUUCUUCUUAAAGAUUCAUUUGUUCUGAAUAGCCUUGCGGCCCUCAGGUAGUACUUCCAAAGUCCACACUUUGUUUUCAUACAUGGAUCCUAUCUCGGACUUCAUGGCCUCCUGCCAUUUGUUGGAAUCUGGGCCCACCAUUGCUUCUUCAUAAUUUGCAGGUUCAUUGUUGUCUAACAACAUGAAUGACAAAACGGGAUUACCGUACCACUCUGGAGCAGCACGUGGUCUCGUCGACCUGCGUGGUUCGACAGAAACUUGAACCGGAGUUUCAUGAUCAUCAUCAUUAACUUCCUCCUCAACCGACGUCGCAACGACAGAGGUUUCCCCUUGCCCUGCGCCACCAUCCAGAGGGAUGAGAGGUUCGACAACCUCGUCAAGUUCUAUCUUCCUCCCACUCAAUUCUCUCGAGAAAAACUCCUUCUCGAGAAAAGCUCCGUUUUUAGCAACAAACACUUUGCCCUCGGAUUUGAGAUAGAAGGUGUACCCAACUGUCUCUUUUGGGUAGCCUAUGAAGAUGCACUUUUCCGCUUUGGGUUCCAGCUUUCCAGGCUGAAGCUUUUUGACAUAAGCAUCACAUCCCCAAACUUUAAGAAACGACAACUUUGGCCUUUUGCCAUACCACAGUUCAUAUGGUGUCGUCUCAACGGAUUUUGAUGGUGCCCUAUUUAAAGUGAAUGCAGCUGUUUCUAAUGCAUAACCCCAAAACGAUAACGACAAGUCAGUAAGAGACAUCAUAGAUCGCACCAUCUCUAAUAAAGUACGAUUACGACGUUCGGACACACCAUUACGCUGUGGUGUUCCAGGCGGUGUCAACUGUGAAACAAUUCCACAUUGUCUUAAGUGAGCACCAAACUCGAAACUCAGAUAUUCACCCCCACGAUCAGACCGUAGGAACUUGAUCUUCUUGUUACGAUGAUUUUCAACUUCACUCUGAAAUUGCUUGAACUUUUCAAAUAUUUCAGACUUGUGCUUCAUUAAGUAGACAUAACCAUAUCUACUCAAAUCGUCAGUGAAGGUGAGAAAAUAACGAUAUCCGCCGCGUGCCUCCACGCUCACCGGACCGCACACAUCGGUAUGUAUGAUUUCCAACAAGUCACUGGCACGCUCCAUUGUUCCGGAGAACGGAGUUUUAGUCAUCUUGCCCAUGAGGCAUGGUUCGCACGUGUCAAGUGAAUCAAAGUCAAGUGACUCCAAAAUCCAUCGGUAUGGAGUUUCUUCAUGCGCUUUACACCAAUAUGACCUAAGCGGCAGUGCCACAAAAAUAUGGCGCUAUCAUUGUGAACUCUAACUCUUUUGGUCUCAAUGUUAUUAUAUGUGUAUUAUCACUAUCAAGAUUCAAUAUGAACAAUCCUCUCACAUUGGGUGCAUGACCAUAAAAGAUGUUACUCAUAGAAAUAGAACAACCAUUAUUCUCUGACUUAAAAGAGUAACCGUCUCGCAAUAAACAAGAUCCAGAUAUAAUGUUCAUGCUCAACGCAGGCACUAAAUAACAAUUAUUCAAGUUCAUAACUAAUCCUGAUGGUAACUGAAGUGAAACUGUGCCGACGGCGAUUGCAUCAACCUUGGAACCAUUUCCUACGCGCAUCGUCACUUCAUCUUUCGGCAGCCUUCGCCUAUUCCGUAGUUUCUGUUUCGAGUUGCAAAUAUGAGCAACAGGACCGGUAUCGAAUACCCAGGAACUACUACGAGAGCCGGUUAAGUACACGUCAAUAACAUGUAUAUCAAAUAUACCUGAUUUUUCUUUGGCCGCCUUCUUAUCAGUCAGAUACUUGGGACAGUUGCGCUUUCAGUGACCCAUACCCUUGCAAUAGUAGCACUCUGUUUCAGGCUUAGGUCCAGCUUUGGGUUUCUUCGUCGGAUUGGCAACAGGCUUGCCGCUCUUCUUUGAAUUACCCUUCUUCCCUUUGUCGUUUCUCUGUAAACUAGUGGUCUUAUUCACCAUCAACACUUGAUGCUCUUUACGGAGUUCAGACUCUGGGACUUUCAGCAUCGCAAACAACUCGCCGGGUGACUUGUUCAUCCCUUGCAUGUUGUAGUUCAACACAAAGCCCUUAUAGCUUGGCGGCACUGAUUGAAGAAUUUUGUCAGUGAUAGCCUCUUGUGGGAGUUCAAUCCUCAGCUCAGCUAGACGGUUUGAAUACCCAGACAUUUUGAGCACAUGUUCACUGACAGACGAAUUCUCCUCCAUCUUGCAAGCAUAGAAUUUAUCGGAGGUCUCAUACCUCUCGAUCCGGGCGUUCUUCUGAAAGAUAAACUUCAACUCCUGGAACAUCUCAUAUGCUCCAUGACGCUCAAAACAACGUUGAAGUCCCGGCUCUAAGCCAUACAAGACUGCACAUUGAACUACUGAGUAGUCCUCCUUACGUGUUAACCAAGCGUUCUUAACAUCUUGGUCAGCCGUAGCGGGUGGUUCAUCUCUUAGCGCAACAUUAAGGACAUAAUCCUUCUUCCCAGCUUGUAGGAUCAACUUAAGAUUACGAGCCCAGUCUACAAAGUUGCUUCCAUCAUCUUUCAACUUAGCUUUCUCUAGGAACGUAUUAAAAUUCAGGGUGACUAUCGCGUGAGCCAUGAUCUACAACACAAAUAUAUUCAAAGUGGACUUAGACUAUGUUCAAGAUAAUUAGAGUUUAACUUAAUCAAAUUACUUGCUAAACUCCCACUCAAAAAAUACAUCUUUCUAGUCAUUUGAGUGGUUCAUGACCCACUUACACUAGCUCAAGUCCGAUCAUCACGUGAGGUGAGUAUAGUUUCAGUGGUAAGCAUCCCUAUGCUAAUCAUAUCAACUAUAUGAUUCAUGAUCGACCUUUCGGUCUCAUGUGUUCCGAGGCCAUGUCUGCACAUGCUAGGCUCGUCAAGCUUAACCCGAGUGUUCCGCGUGUGCAACUGUUUUGCACCCGUUGUAUGUGAACGUUGAGUCUAUCACACCCGAUCAUCACGUGGUGUCUUGAAACGACAAACUGUAGCAACGGUGCACAGUCGGGGAGAACACAAUUUCGUCUUGAAAUUUUAGUGAGAGAUCACCUCAUAAUGCUACCGUCGUUCUAAGCAAAAUAAGGUGCAUAAAAGGAUUAACAUCACAUGCAAUUCAUAAGUGACAUGAUAUGGCCAUCAUCACGUGCUCCUUGAUCUCCAUCACCAAAGCACCGGCACGAUCUUCUUGUCACCGGCGCCACACCAUGAUCUCCAUCAACGUGUCGCCAUCGGGGUUGUCGUGCUACUCAUGCUAUUACUACUAAAGCUACAUCCUAGCAAAAUAGUAAACGCAUCUGCAAGCACAAACAUUAGUUUAAAGACAACCCUAUGGCUCCUGCCGGUUGCCGUACAAUCGACGUGCAAGUCGAUAUUAUCUAUUACAAUAUGAUCAUCUCAUACAUCCAAUAUAUUACAUCACAUCGUUGGCCAUAUCACAUCACAAGCAUACCCUGCAAAAACAAGUUAGACGUCCUCUAUUUUGUUGUUGCAUGUUUUACGUGGUUACCAUGGGUAUCUAGUAGGAUCGCAUCUUACUUACGCAAACACCACAACGGAGAUAUAUGAAUUGCUAUUUAACCUUAUCCAAGGACCUCCUCGGUCAAAUCCGAUUCAACUAAAGUUGGAGAAACCGACACUUGCGAGUCAUCUUUGAGCAACGGAGUUACUCGUAGCGAUGAAACCAGUCUCUUGUAAGCGUACGAGUAAAUGUCGGUCCAAGCCGCUUCAAUCCAACAAUACCGCGGAAUCAAGAAAAGACUAAUGAGGGCAGCAAGACGCACAUCACCACCCACAAAAACUUUUGUGUUCUACUCGAGAUUACAUCUACGCAUGAACCUAGCUCAUGAUGCCAUUGUUGGGGAACGUCGCAUGGGAAAAAAAAUUCCUACGCGCACGAAGACCUAUCAUGGUGAUGUCCAUCUACGAGAGGGGAUUUCCGAUCUACGUACCCUUGUAGAUCGCACAGCAGAAGCGUUAGUGAACGCGGUUGAUGUAGUGGAACGUCCUCACGCCCCUCGAUCCGCCCCGUGAAUCGUCCCACGAACCGUCCCGCGAUCCGUCCCACGAUCUAGUGCCGAGCGAACGGCACCUCCGCGUUCAGCACACGUACAACUCGACGAUGAUCUCAGCCUUCUUGAUCCAGCAAGAGAGACGGAGAGGUAGAUGAGUUCUCCGGCAGCGUGACAGCGCUCCGGAGGUUGGUGGUGAUCUAAUCUCAGCAGGGCUCCGCCCGAGCUCCACAGAAACACGAUCUAGAGGUAAAACCGUGGAGGUAUGUGGUCGGGCUGCGUGGCAAAAGUUGUCUCAAAUCAGCCCUAAUAUCUCCAUAUAUAUAGGAGGAGGGGAGGGGAGGCUUGCCUUGAGGCUCAAGGAGCCCCAAGGGCUGCGUCACCAAGGGAUACGGAGUCCUCCUUCAAUCCUAGUCCAACUAGGAUUGGAAGGUGGAGUCCUUCUCUCCUUUCCCACCUCCUUUUUUUUCUUUUCUCUUUGAUUUUCUAUCUAUGGCGCAUAGGGCCUUCUUGAGCUGUCCCACCAGCCCACCGAGGGCUGGUGCGCCACCCCCAAGGCCUAUGGGCCUCCCAGGGGUGGGCUGCCCCCCCGGUGAACACCCGGAACCCAUUCGUCAUUCCUGGUACAUUCCCGGUAACUCCGAAAACCUUCCGGUAAUCAAAUGAGGUCAUCCUAUAUAUCAAUCUUCGUUUCCGGACCAUUCCGGAAACCCUCGUGACGUCCGUGAUCUCAUCCGGGACUCCGAACAACAUUCGGUAACCAACUAUAUAACUCAAAUACGAAUAAAACAACGUCGAACCUUAAGUGUGCAGACCCUGCGGGUUCGAGAACUAUGUAGACAUGACCCGAGUGACUCCUCAGUCAAUAUCCAAUAGCGGGACCUGGAUGCCCAUAUUGGAUCCCACAUAUUCUACGAAGAUCUUAUCGUUUGAACCUCAGUGCUAGGGAUUCAUAUAAUCUCGUAUGUCAUUCCCUUUGUCCUUCGGUAUGUUACUUACCCGAGAUUCGAUCGUCAGUAUCCGCAUACCUAUUUCAAUCUCGUUUACCGGCAAGUCUCUUUACUCGUUCCGUAAUACAAGAUCCCGACACUUACACUAAGUUGCAUUGCUUGCAAGGCUUGUAUGUGAUGUUGUAUUACCGAGUGGGCCCCAAGAUACCUCUCCGUCACACGGAGUGACAAAUCCCAGUCUCGAUCGAUACUAACUCAACGAACACCUUCGGAGAUACCUGUAGAGCAUCUUUAUAGUCACCCAGUUACGUUGCGACGUUUGAUACACACAAAGCAUUCCUCCGGUGUCAGUGAGUUAUACGAUCUCAUGGUCAUAGGAACAAAUACUUGACACGCAGAAAACAAUAGCAACAAAAUGACAUGAUCAACAUGAUAUGUCUAUUAGUUUGGGUCUAGUCCAUCACGUGAUUCUCCUAAUGACGUGAUCCAGUUAUCAAGCAACAACACCUUGUACAUAGUCAGAAGACCCUGACUAUCUUUGAUCAACUGGCUAGCCAACUAGAGGCUUGCUAGGGACAGUGUUUUGUCUAUGUAUCCACACAUGUAUAUAAGUCUUCAUUCAAUACAAUUAUAGCAUGCAUAAUAAACGAUUAUCUUGAUACUGGAAUUAUAAUAAUAACUAUAUAUUUAUUAUUGCCUCUAGGGCAUAAUUCCAACAUAGUGUUCACUAGAGGCUUCUCUCAAAAUAUCAAAUAUUACAAUGGGUGAACAAAUUACUGUCGAGCAAUUGAUAGAACCGCGCAAAGUCAUGACGAUAUCUAAGGCAAUGAUCAUACAUAUAGGCAUCACAUCCGAAACAAGUAGACCGAUACUUUCUGCAUCUACUACUAUUACUCCACACAUCGACCGCUAUCCAGCAUGCGUCUAGUGUAUUGAGUUCAUGACGAACAGAGUAACGCCUUAAGCAAAAUGACAUGAUGUAGAGGGAUAAACUCAAACCAAUAAUGAAAACCCCAUCUUUUUACCCUUGAUGGCAACAACACGAUGCGUGCCUCGCUACCCCUUCUGUCACUAGGUGAGGUCACUCCACGGUAUGAACCCAAAACCAAGCACUUCUCCCAUUGCAAGAAUCAUAGAUCAAGUUGGCCAAACAAAACCCACAACUCGAAGAGAAUUACAAGGAUAUGAAAUCAUGCAUAUAAGAGAUCAGUAGAAACUCAAAUAAGAUUCAUAGAUAAUCUGAUCAUAAAUCCGCAAUUCAUCGGAUCUCGACAAACACACCGCAAAAGAAGAUUACAUCGGAUAGAUCUCCAUGAAGAUCAUGGAGAACUUUGUAUUGAAGAUCCAAGAGAGAGAAGAAGCCAUCUAGCUACUAGCUAUGGACCCGAAAGUCUAUGGUGAACUACUCACGCAUCAUCUGAGAGGUCAUGGUGUUGAUGAAGAAGCCCUCCGUAUCCGAAUCCACCCUCCGGCAGGGCACCAGAACAUGCCCCAGAUGGGAUCUUGCGGAGACAGAAGCUUGCGGCGGCGAAAAAGUAUUUUCGUGGAUCUCUCACGCAGUUUUGGAAAUUUUCUGACUUUAUAGGCGGAAGAGGUAGGGCAGACGAGCCACAGGGGGCCCACAAACCUGCUAGGCGUGGGCCCCCUGGCCUCGCCUAGGGGGCUUGUGGGGUCCCCUGGUGGCCCGUGCCUUGGUUCUCAAGUCUCGUGCGUAUCUUCUAUUCCGGAAAAAAUCAUUUCGAAAGUUUUAUUCCGUUUGGACACCGUUUAAAAUCCUCCUCUGAAAAGGGUCAAAAACACGGAAAAACAAGAACUGGCACUUGGCACUGAGUUGAUAAGUUAGUCCCAAAAAGGUAUAAAAGGCAUACAAAACAUCCAAAGUUUGACAAGAUAAUAGCAUGGAACCAUCAAAAAUUAUAGAUACGUUGGAGACGUAUCAAGCAUCCCCAAGCUUAACUCCUGCUCGUCCUCGAGUAGGGAAGUGAUAAAUACUGAAUUUUUGAUGUGGAAUGCUACCUAACAUAGUUUUCCUUUGUAACUUCUUUCAUGUGACAUGAAUGUUCAGAUCCGUAAGAUUCAAAACAAUAGUUUGCUAUUGACAUGAAAACAAUAAUACUUCAAGCAAACUAGCAAGGUAAUCAUGAACUUUCGAAAUAACAAGGCCAAAGAAAGUUAUCCCUACAAAAUCAUAUAGUCUGGCUAUGCUCCAUCAUCCUCACACAACUAAUUUAAAUCAUGCACAACCCCGGUAUUGGCCAAGUAAUUGUUUUCGCACUCUUACUUUAUCAAACCUUUUUCAACUCUCACGCAAUACAUGAGUGUGAGCCAUGGAUAUAGCACUAUAGGUGGAAUAGAGUGUGGUGGUGGUUGUGAGACAAAAAGGAGGAGAUGGUCACAUUGACUCGGCGUAUUAAAGGUCUAUGGAGAUGCCCAUUAAUAGAUAUUAAUGUGAAUGAGUAGGGAUUUCCAUACAAAGGAUGCACUAGAGCUAUAAGUAUGGGAAAGCUCAAAAGGAAACCUAGUGGGUGUGCAUCCAACUUGCUUGCUCACGAAGACCUAGGGCAAUUUUGAGGAAGCCCAUAAUUGGAAUAUACAAGCCAAGUUAUAUAAUAAAGAUUCCCACUAGCAUAUGAUGGUGAUAAAACGAGAGGCUCUCAAUCAUGAAGAACAUGGUGCUUAUUAUGAAGCACAAGUGUGGAAAGAGAUAGUAGCAUUGUCCCUUCUCUCUUUUUCUCUUUUUUUUGUUUGGGCUCUUUGGCCUCUUUUUUUUAUUGUGGGCAACUUUGGCCUCUUUUUUUUAUUUCCUCACAUGGGACAAUGCUCUAAUAAUGAUGAUCAUCACACUUUUAUUUACUCACAGCUCAAAGCUCAGAACGAUGAUGACUAUAGGAAAUGCCUCCGGCAGUGUACCGGGAUGUGUAACGAUCUAGCUUGGCGUAUGACGUUGAAACAUCUCGCUAGCUAUCUUACGAUCAUGCAAUGGCAAUAUGAGAGUGACGGCACAAGUCAUGAGACGGAACAGUGGGAGUUGCAUGGCAAUAUAUCUCGGAAUGGCUAUGAAAAUUCCAUAGUAGGUAGGUAUGGUGGCUGUUUUGAGGAAGGCUUAUUGUGGGUUUGUGCACCAGCGAAAAUUGCGCGGUACUAGAGAAGCUAGCAGUGGUGGAAGGUGAAAGUGCAUCUAUACCAUGGACUCACAUUAAUCAUGAAGAACUCACAUACUUGUUGCGAAAGUUUUUAUCAGUAAUCGAAACAAAGUGCUAAACGCAUACUCCUAGGGGAAGGGUUGGUAGGUGUUAACCAUCGCGCGAUCCCGACCGCAACACAAAGGAUGACAAUCAAUAGAUCAAUUAUGCUCCGACUUCCUAACAUAGCGGUUCACCAUACGUGCAUGUUACGGAAAUUACUAACUUUAACACAAGUAUUUCUAGAUUCACAACACCCUACUAACAUAACUCUUAAUAUUACCGAAUCCACGUCUCAAAACUAAUUGAGAGGAAUCAAACUUCUCUUUCUACCCAAUGCAUAUGAAGAUGGAGGUUUUUGUAUCCUCUUUGGGUACCUAUCACCUUUGGGACUAUUUUCAUAGCACAAACCAACUACCAAGUUACUCACCGCCGUGCUCUAAAAGAUCUAAGUGAAGCAAAUAGAGCAAAAUUAUCAAGCUCAAAAGAUAUAAGUGAAGCACAAUGAGCAUUCUAGCAAUUUCACGAUGAGUGCAUGUCUCUCUCAAAAGGUGUGCAACGAGGAUGAUUGUGACACAACAAAAAGAAAAGACUCCUACGAUACAAGACGCUUCAAGCAAAACACAUAUCAUGUGGUGAAUAGAAAUAUAGCUCCAAGUAAUGUUACCGAUGGAUUGAAGACGAAAGAUGGGCUUUUCUCCCCUAUUUUUUCAUUUCAUUUUUUUGUCUUUUCUUUUCUCAUCCUGUUUUCUUUCCUUCUUUCAACCAAUUCAGGAUUUUAAAAUUUUCAAAGUUGUGAGUUUUCGAAAACAUGAUCGAGAAAUCAUAAAAUUUAUGUGAAUUAAAAAAUGUUUAGGAAAUCAUAAUUUUUUGGAUCAAAAAAUGUUCGUAGUUUUGCAAAAUUGUUCACCAAUUAUAAUAACUAUUCGUGAUUUGGAAAUCUGGUCAGGAAAAAAACCAUGUUCAUGAUUUUGAAAAAUGAUAGUUUAUUCAAAACAUAAUAAGGAAUCAGAAACAAAUAUCCAUGAAAUUUCACAUAACUUCAAAAAUACAAAUUUUUAAAUUUUGUUUGAAAAAAUCUGAUCAAUUCAAAAAUUAUUGGUGACUAAACAAAUGUUCAUGAAUUGAAAAUUGUUCAAGCAUUUCAAACUAUUCGUCAUUUUUUUGAAAAAAAUAAAAUUUGAAAACAAUGUUUGUCGAUUCGAAAAGCCGUUCACCGAUUCAAAAAUUUAUGUCUAGGAUUCGAUUAGAUUUUUGAAAGUCAUUAUAUCUCUAGGCGUUGGGAGUAGUUCGUGAUCGAUAAGAUUUUUUUAAAGUUUUGAAGGUUUCAAGUCGUGAUUAUUAGUUUAGGACGUGUUGUAUGGUUUGCUCCCGUUGCAACGCACGGGUUCUUUUUUUUAGAAAAGGAGGCCUUGUCCCGGCCUCUGCAUCGAGCGAUGCAUACAACCAUUUAUUAACCAAACCAAGUGUUCACAAAGUACAGAAUUGACGAAAGCAAACAAAGAGAUGAAAAUAAAAAAUUACAUGGCGAACAACGCGCCAGAGCCGGAAUUGGCGAAAAGAUAUAGAUGACUAGACUCCUAUCCUAUUAAUAUGACGCCAUCCAAACCGGUUGAAGAUACCCUGUGCUACCAUCUCCCAACGGACACACCCAGUAACCAUAAGCUCCCUGGCUGUCACAUGAGUUAGUAACGACCAUGUGCGGAUCAGUGCGGUAGUUCUGAAGAUAACCUGCAGAAAGUGAAUAUCACGUAGUCUAUUAAAAACCAAAUCAUUUCUGCUAUUCCAUAAAGCCCAUAAAAGAGCACAUGCUUAGACACGAAUAGAUUUGGCUAAUUGAACAUCGAGACAUGAAUAGAUUUGGCUAAUUGAACAUCGACUCCCUGUAACCACGUUUCAAAUAACUAGUUUAAGUCAACAGGAGGAGGGAUGUUAAAAGUAAUGUGAAUUGAGCGCCAAACAAGUUUAGCCAUAGGACAAUCGAGAAAGAGGUGUUGAAUACUCUCUACCCUUGGGGAGAAGCUACAUCUGGGACUACCUUUCCAAUUCCAUUUUGCCAGAUUAUCCUUUGUUAAAAUAACUCCCUUGUGAAGAAACCACAAGAAAACUUUAAUUCUGAGAGGCACUCUGACCUUUCAAAUAUGCUGGGUUUUUGGAAUAGGUACGGAAUCAAUGAGAUGAGAAUACAUGGAUUUGACUGUAAACAUCCCAUUAGAUGUUAAACUCCAAGCAAUUCGAUCAAUCCUGUCAGAAAGAUUAACCUCCAUUAACCUUCUAACCAGAUGCAACGAGGAGACCCAUCUAUCACCAAUUAAUGACUUACGGAAUUGAAUAUUAAGGGGUAUCUCACGAAAUACUGCCGCAACGGACACUUGUCUACGUUGAGCAAUAUGGUACAGCCGCGGGUAUUGAAGAGCUAAAGGCGAAUCUCCUAGCCAGGAAUCUUCCCAGAAUCUGGUCAAUUCACCAUUACCAAUGAUAAACCUCGAUCUAUUGAAAAAUGAGUUUUUCACCCGCAUCAGACCCUUCCAGAACGGCGAGUCUAGUGGUCUAGCCGUAACCUGAGAUAAAGUUUUAGAGUGAAGGUACUUGUUCGUCAAAAUUUGUACCCACAUCCCUUCGGAUUCCAUAGAUAAUCGAAACAGUCACUUGCUAAGAAGACAUCUAUUUUUGGUCUCCAGAUUUUCAAUUCCUAAACCUCCUUAUUCAUUAGGGCGACAAAUAAUAUCCCAUUUAACCAGCCUAUACUUAGUCCUGACCUCAUCACUUUGACGGGUUCUUUUGCUAGGACUAUCAAAACAGGUUUAUCAUCUUGGUAGGCGAGGCCACGCUUUGUUUGGUCUCUAGUCUGUGCUACAGCCGACGAGUAAGCCUGCGAGGACCAGACAAAUAUGACAAUCAGUUUUUUUUAGGCAGCCUUUUCUUUUCCAGUUGUAUAGUUAUAUGUGUGCACUCCUCCAUGUUUGCCUUUCGGAUGGAUAUAAGUUCAUUACAAUAGAACUAACUCAUCCAAGUUUAGGGCCGCUUUAAUUGCGGGAUUUUCAAAAUACAGGAAUAAAAAAGUGUAGGGUUGGAAUGUCAUGUCUAUAUAAACCUUGUAAGAUUAGCAAGAAGUGUUUGGUGUCAUAGGAAUUUUCUUUUAUAAAAAAGGAUUGAAGCGAAUGUUAAAUUUUGCUAUAAAAUGUAACAAAUCCUAUGAAAUUCCAAAAGGAUUGUAAUCAUUCAUAAAUCCUAUGAAAUUCCUUUGACUUACUGUAUAUCUUAAUAGAAUUCCAUGUAAUGAUCAAUGCAUUUUUUUGAUUCUAUAUUAUCUGCAUGUGUAGAAUACUAGCAAGAGAAUAUCUCUUCUUUCUUAUGUAAUUGAAAUGGUAUUGACAAAUAACAAAUAAACAUAAUAGUGGCCCUUAGGCUCCGUUCGGGUAAUCGGAAUACAGAACAUAGGAACCAAAAAGAACCGCAUGUGCAAAACGCCGGAACAGAAAACACUGGGAAGUUGUUAGAAUGGGUGUUCGAUAUACCACCGUAAAACCACUUAUUAUUAUCCUUGGCUUGUACUGGAGUAGUGCUGCUGUUCUGAAUCAGGCAAAAUUGAUAAAUUUGAUCUAGAAUCCAAAGUAUUUCAUAAACUGAAUUUUGUUUGAAUUUUUUUUACUCGGCUUACCCUUUUGUAUGCCGUCUGACAGUCACGCGCCACACUACACUGUGUGACGCCUUUGUCUUAGGCGCCACACAGUGUAGUGCGACGUCUAUGCCUUAGGCGCCACACUAGAUCUCAGGCGUCACACAACAUCGUGUCGGACGUCACACAAUGUAGUGUGGCGCCUAAGGCAAAGGCGUCACGCAAAAGGGUCAGCUUGGUGAUUUUUUUUAAACAUACUAGUAGAAUGCCCGUGCGUUGCUACGGCCUUUUAAUGUUUGAUCUGAUGACAUAUAUAUUUUUAUGUCGUUACAUACAACUCGAUGAAUUCUUUACCAUGUCGAACGACAUUGUGUGGGGACCAUUGUUGAUGGUCUUUUUAAACGUCAACCUAAUCCAUCUUCGCCUCUCUCAUACUCUGUAAAAAUAAAUAUAUAUAGAAAUGCGCCUUUUGUAUUAUCUGUGCAACAGCUUUACUAUUGCUCCUGCGCAUUUUUCGCCUCUUUUCUUUUAAAAUAGUCAAUUGCACAUGUGUUACAAGCAGGACAUAUAUAUUCUAAUGAUUUGUUCCUAAAAAUAAAAAUCUAACGAUUCAACAACCGUAUAUGACAUAGGCUUUUAUAAACCCCGCGACAAGUGUGGUGAGCAAUCGUCGAAUUAUUAAAAAGAGACAUACAUCUUUAUACACGCAAUCUAAUUAUCAAAAUAAAAAAUGUACAGCGAGCGUAGAAACAUGUACUACCCAUUCAUAUGAAGAUAAAGAUAUAUAUUCUCCACAUUUUUCUCAUAAUUCCUUACCAACAUCUCCUUCCAAGAAAAGAAAACAACAUUUUUAUCCUUAACCCUACUUCCCUUUCAUUUUUUAUUCUCCUCAUUCACCCUAACUCUAUAGCAUUGUCCUCAUUUUAGAAGUUUUUCAUCUCAUCUUGCAACCUUUUGAAACUUCAGCAACUCUAGCAAUAGUCCCAGCUUGCCAUUUGCUCAGCAUUGCCACCACUUCAGAAAUUUGUCAUCCCACCUUGGAACUUUUUAAAACUUUAUCAAAUCUACAAAAUGGCUGAAACUUACCACCUCCUCAUUUAUGCUUCCUCAGUUGAUCCAUAGAUGAUCCUGAAUGAAUAUUUAUUAUCUUAUUUCUUAGUAUUUAACUGUAAAUAGUCUAUGGCAAGUUGCCAUCGAAACAGAUUAUUCCACUAACUAAGCUGCAAAUAUGCAAGGCUCAAAAUUAUUCCACUAACUAACUUGCUUGCGAUCAACAUUAGUAUCCAACAUCAUCCUUUCUGGUUCAAAACAUUGAGCAUCUACCCAGUGACCAUAUGAUGCAUGUGGGGAGCAAUUGAGCUUCGUUUCGGCACCAGUGAUGCUCGUGGUCCUCUUCCACCAUGGCCAUAGACUCUGCAUAUACUACCAUCUACCACAUUGUAGUAUUAGAUUUCAUCAGAACCCUUGCAACUUCUAGGUCCAACAAGAAAGCAGAGGCAAACUUCUUGCUGCAAUUAUGUUCAUGCACGUGGAACAAAUAGUACAUGGGAUUAACUCUUCUGGGUGCGCUUAAAAAUUAAGUUACCAGAGACUCUUCACCAUACGUCUCUUGAAUAUUAUUGUAGGUACCAAGGUACAGACUAAUGAUUCUCACACAUAUAAUAAAGUUUGGACCAAUUUUUUCCAACUCUAGCUCAGGGAUAUGUACAAUUGUUAGCAUGCCCCAAACUUAUGCAACGAUAACAAUCAGCAAGCCAUUGCUGCCCUCAAGUUUAACUCCUCUCCACGCAUCAGCAACGGACUCAUCACAAAAAUAGAAUUUUCUACCAAAACAGUAUUUGAGCCCAUGAAACCAAGUAUGCAUACACAAAAUGAAAGAAACAAGCAACACGCUUGUUAACAGUGCAGACCUUCUACUCAAGGUGGUAGAGGAGCCACAUAAGGUGCCAGCAGCAAGUACACCCCCGCACCGUCAUCUACACCUUCCUCUCCUGUCCUCACAUUCACAACUACAACCAAGAAUAGCAACAAAGUCACCCUCUUCGUUCUCAAAAGUAAGGAAAAUAAAACAAUUUUGAGACGGUGGACAACUGACCUUCUUGUCGAGCUUGAUCUUUCUCAUCCCACGUAAUCCAUGUCAGAUCGCCACCGCUUCCCGAAAAAUCAGCAACCUCCUUGCUCUCCCCACCUCCUAAUAUUAAAAUAUCGACAUGAUAGCAGCAACAACACAUGGAGGGUCUUGAAAAUGAAGUGCCAUGUUCAUACCGAAGGAAAAUAAUCAUGCUCAAAUAGAAAGAUAUGAAUUAUUAGUAGAAGGAAGACACCUAUUAUAGCAUGCAUAACUAUUCAGUAUGACCGCAAUGGUGAAUAAAAUUGACAAAUACUUUAUGGGAGGGGGAAGAACGACCACGGAAAUGAGGUGACGGUGAUGGUCGGUUGUGGGCUCAGUUUUGUUGAGGUUACGAUAACUGCCAACAGCGAGACUUGAAGCCAUACAUGGUGAUCGUGGAGUCCGUCUAUCUGAGUCGGCGCACGCGUCCAUCAAACCCGUACACAGCUACAUGAUUUGGAGGGAGUGACUGGCCAGCCACCACCAGAGCACUUGGUGGUAAAGAAUAAAUCAAUAUCUUCCUCUCGCGCGAUUAGAAAGUUAGCGUAUUCCAAAAACAAAAGAAACAAGGCUAAAAAUGAACUGCUUGAACUCCUCUACCAAGAAUAAGCGGUCAUAGAAAGUCCAUUGCUGGCACCUCACUUCUUCUAUCAAAAUGCGUUCAACUACAUUAAUGUUUCAAAAUUGCAAGUGUAGUCAUAGGUGAAAAUUGAAAUUUUCUACGAUGGACAUGUAAAACAGUCUAGGUGAAUUAGGGAAAGUCGGUAGCACAAAGAAUAAAUAACCAAGCAGACAACACAAAUAAUGAUUAACUAAGUUGAUAGCACAAACAAAAGUAACCACUGAUAGCAAAGAACAAUAUGAUCUACGAGUACAUGAGGAAGAAAUAUGUAAAAAAUAAUGGUAGCUAUCUGACUGUUUAUGCAGUUCAUCUCAAGGGCAGACAUAGUCAGUAAACAAAUAGGUGAAAAGAAGACUGAAGUUGUACCGUAAUUCAUCCAUGGCAGCUAUGUAGGAUGCAUUAUGAUGUGGUUCACUCCGAAAGAGGCUCCCUAUCCAAUCCAAAACCUGAAAUCGAUUAAUUACUCAAGGCCAGAUAAUCAAUGUACCACUACAUGGUACCAUGAAUCCAUAAUAACUAACUAAUCUACAGCAAUUCUAGACAUCAUUGACACUUAGACGUUGUAAAACCAAAUUACAGAUAGAUUUUCAGAUUAACCCGAGGCUAUAACCUUAUACGCACUACCACAUUCGAUGAACGGCGAAACAAUGUUUAGCACUACCACAUAUACUGUGAAUCUUCCCUGAACUUUUCAGUUUGACCACCCCUAGGCAUAUAAUUGCAGCCCGAGAAGACGACAUUGCUCCAUGGGAGUCUUCACAUAUUCAACUUGAACAAAGAAUAAAAAUUAUUAAUGGACUCAAAUUAUUAAGACAAAGCUAUUGUCUUCUGGCCCAAAUGAAAAGAUAAGUUUGGUAAUUGGAAACUUGGGUAGAUACCUUGAUGGAGCGAUCCUGCUCGAUGUCUAGGGAGGCCUUGGAGAAGACGACCUUCGGGGUGAACAACUUCUGCAAAGACUCCACCUUGGCGCUCAUGUGAGCCUAAGGUGCCAAAAAAACCAAAAAAACCUGCAGAGAUGAAUACUUCGAUGCAUAUAAUUUGUAGGCUGCAUAUACAUGGGAUGUAUCUAUGCUUAUUAAUAUGUGCAUUUGGAACAUAUAUCAGCCCUCCCCAUUGAAAUAGUUGGCUAGGCUAGGCUAUGGUCCUGAAACAAACAAACCUUCCCAAUUCUCCACUGACCGCAACACCUUCCCGAGGGACCCGAUGCACUAAUUCACUACUCUGCACCUCCCAAGCGACCCUCAGGCAUGCUCUGAAAGUAGAAGAAUGAUGCAAGAACACAUCAAUUAAAUGAUAUAAGAAUACUAUAUACAAGACUGGAUGCCUUUGAAAAAUUCAUAGCAAAAUUAUCCUAGCUUCCAUACGACCAUGACGAAUCAAAUUAUGCAUUGCGUUAAAUAGCAUGGUCAUACAUCCCUGGCAGUCGGAACAUACUUUAUUUUCUUAGACAUUGUUAUAGCAAAACUUACAACAUAAGAAUUGAGUGUUUGUGCAAAUAACUAAUCAGAUUCUCUAUUUUGAUAGUUUCCAUUCACUUUCACAUGUCCCGAUUCAUCAAUAAUCAUUUGGUCAGAUGUCCGUUCAUUAUGAUUGAGGAACAUCAAUGAAAUGCAACGUCAUUUCUCUUACGUAGUAUACCAGAAAAUGGAAUUUUCAAUAUACUAUUGAACAUGUCAAAUAAGUAAGCCUAGUUGGCUCAAAGUUGAUUAAAGGUCAAUUGGAUAGCCCUUAAUUCUAGGUUAUGCAUCCAGCACUUAAGAGCCAAAAAAGAAAGAGACACUGCAUUCAAAAUUAGGCAAGUGGGCAUCAGAGCCUGGGCUCCUCUAUUUGAAACCGCAUUUACACUUGCUGGUGUUUGCUUGAACAUGAGGAUUAAGCUCGCAAUUCGGUAUUUGGAAACCCUGCAGGUUGGUUUUUGCCAUUUCCCCCCAAAACAAAGAGAACACACAACUAACACUAUGAUUGAUGCAGCUCAAAUAAGGCAUCAGUUCAGUCUACUUAAUCCUACUAACUGUGCCGCUGAGGAACCAACUAUCUCAGUGUCUAGACACCCUGUUAUUUUGCACUUUAUGAAAUCGAAGAAGGAAACCAAAAUAGCACCUUUGCUCUCUUCGGCAUUGGCAUUUAGACGAAACUUCUCUACCAGUUAAACGCGAAGCAUCUCGAUUCUGUAGUGGGAUGGAAAAGACUGACACCUUCAAAAGCAUCACAAAAUUAUGUAGCAACACCUACAAAUAAAUUGAGUAACAUCCAAGGCCAUUACAAUACAUAGAUGCUAUAAUUUUCCAAUAGGAUACUAAAACCACUAAUACACUUCUACUAUUGCACGCGGGAGCAUAAAAGUUAGAUAUAGAGAAAAGAUGGAGCGACAAUACCUCAACAUCAAGGAGACGUCUGUACCAUGCUGGACAGUGGAAGGCGCAUAUGCAAGGCAACAAGAAAUUUAUAAAUCCCAUGCUCGUGGCUACGAGCAGGGGCGAGAGCCCUCGGAUCUCCUCGCUCGCACCAUGUCCGAAGGUGAGCACGACCCCGUUAGCCGGGACACACCGACCCCAGCUGCAUUGGGCUGCCCUGCACUCCACACGAGCACAAGAUCUGGAGCGGAUGUGGCCGCGCUUGGGGAGGCCAGGCCCGUCGCCGUGCUGGUGAAGAUUGUGGGGGGAGGCGGAGCAGGGAGGGAGGGGAGGGGCUCCAGCAACGUGAAUCCAUGGUAACUUGGGGAGGGGGAGCAGCGUGCUGGGAGGAGGGAGGAGCAGCAUGCGAGAAGGAGGGAAGCGCACCGUGAAGAGAGUCAGGGAUUGAAGGGAGCAGUGGCUGGUUAGGGGUCUCUAGGCCGCCAUGGGACCGACGCGGAGGGAGGGGCUGGCUCUGAGGAGCGAUGACCUGGCUCGUCCAUCGAUCGAGAGCCUUGCAAGCGCCAACGGCUCCCUCCAUCAUCGCCGUCGUCCAAAGAAGGACGCGGCGACGGUCCCGUGCGGUCGUGAAGACGGCGCGUGACGUGCUGAGGGGGAAGGAGGGCGAGGGGAGCAUGGGGAAGGGGGACGCCACCGGCGUGGCGGCCAUUAUCACGCCGGGAGGGAUCUAACAUAUGCCGCCGCCGUCGCCGAGGGGGAGAGAGGAAGAGGGUGAUAUCGAGAGGGUUAGGGUUACGGCAUGGACUGGUUUUCUACGCGCGAGGGAGGUCGGGGAGGAGGCGCACAGGAGGAGGAGCUCGGGGUCGGGGAUAAGGGUUGCAGACAUAAUAUCUAACAAUUGCAAUGGUUUUUACGCAAAAACGAAACGUUUUUCUAGAGUGUCACUUAAACAGGGACUGCGGGUUGAAUAUCUAAAACCUCGGGGCCUUUUUUUGCAAAACUACCACGACGACGGACGGCAGAAGCAAUACGUGCUUUAUUAUUAAGGAGAGAGUUCAGUUUGUGAAUUAGUUUGAUUUUUGGGUCAAAUUUUUUCAUUUUGCCUCUGAAUCAUCCUCACUUCUUUCUUCAACGAACACGGUCGCCAAGUGGCUGGAGCGGCGUGGGGAAUUUUGGUGCUUGCAUUACAUGCGGCUGGCCCAUGAGUUUGGCGAUGAUGGAUCACUCCUUCACGUCGCUUUGGAUGUUUCCGCUUAACUUCCUCGUCCGUCCUUCUCUUUCUUUCCUUCAAUCAAAAGGCUAGCUAGCAGCUCGAUCUAGCCGUACACGUUUUCGGCUCUUCUUUCUUGAGGCCCAUUUGGCAUGCACAUGUGAGAUGCAUGCGCCUGCACCAAGCAAAUUAAUUAACCUGCACGCUUCCUUUUAUCAGACCAACUGCGUGUAUGUAUACUUCGGACGUUCGGAACCUCUUCAACCCUGGAACUCCGCUCCACUUGAGGAGCUAGCUCGAUCUGAACGACUCCUUAAAAUUGUGCUGCCGCUCCCUUCGCUUCAGGAGCUGCAGUUGCGGAGCGGAGAGGAGCCGAACAGGGGCUUCCUCAGUCUCAAAAUAAAUAUCGUUAAUCUAGUAGUAUAAAGAAGGCAAAAAAAAAAAAACCAGAGCGGCGCCGACGGGGUAGAAGCUACACACGCAGGUUUGGUUCAUAGACAGGGAUGAGAAUUCUCUUCUCAUCCUCAUCUCCUUAUCCCUGGCAACCUACGUACCGACACACACGUACUAGUGCAUCUGCUUGAUCUGUGGACCGAGCUACAGCAACCCUACAAGUGUUGCGAGGGCCAGGCAAAGUUGACGAACGUGCAUGAGCGGCGCCAAAUGGAUUCACAAUCAUUCAUUCAUAUUUCCUCUGUAUCUGUAUAAUUGUUAUCGAAAAGAACUCUGAUUAUAGAGAGGGGGUAGAAACGUGUGUCCUUGCAAUGCGGUUGAACAAUGGGGGACGGCAUUCUAUGUUGGCUGCUUCUCUCACAGUGACUUGCUUCUACGGCAGUGCUCCGGAACACGGCGGUACCGGUAAUUUACUUACUAGACCGAAGAACAUCACAACAUGGCACCGGUUAGCUGGUUGGCAGUGCACUACAAGGUCCGAGGUUAUACAGGUGGAAGCAGUUGGGUCACAGUGGUGAAAUAGUCAGAAAAACACAACAGGGGCAGAAUAUAGCAGGCAUAGAAGCUUGUCGUCUUGACAAGAAGCCCACGCGCACACCUACCACGUAGGGAAGACGCAGUCAGUGAGUCAUCGUCGGUGCCCUUCCUUGGCUUGUACUCCUACUGCUCUCACCUUCCUCUGAAUCAUGCAUUCUUCCUGGAACGAACGAACGAACGCGCCAAUUGCAGACUCAAGUUGGUGGCUGCAGCCGAGCGGCGCGGCGUGGCGAAUCUUCCUGCCCGACCGCUCCUGUUCUGCUCAUGCAUGCAUGCGCCGCUCCGGCCCAUGAGUUUCGCCAUGAUCGAUCGAUCGUUCAUUCAUUCAUGGAUGGAUGGAUAGCUACCUUGAUUUGGUCCCUUUUGCUUAGAAACAGUGCAUGCAGGUGCAGGCGGCGGAUUGGAACCUUCGUCGCCAUGCGUGCGUGCUAGGCCUAGGCUGCUGCGCGCACACAUGCCUACCUACCGGUGAUCACACAGCACCUUCCAUUCUCAUUUCCCCUCGCACAUUUGCCAAGCACGCACGUGUGUGAUGCUUCCAGUCGUCCACAUUCGUCUGUCUAAAUUCAUGUGGACAAAAAGUUGGUCAAAGCGUCGAUCCAAAUAGACACGCAUCCGUCUUUUAUCCAAUUUUAAUCAUAAUUUAUGUCGGUGCGGACACGAAGCGGACGCGUCGCGCCUACUCCCCUCUCUGCCCGCAAGUCGACGGCAAAGCGGCCACUUUUUCCCUCCAUUUUCCACAAACCCUCCCCCGCCCGCUCCCACCGCCAUGGACGAUGACCUCGAGGCCGCCGCCGCCAUCGCCUCCCUCACAUCGUCCGGCGCCGCCGCCGUAGCCAGAGGCAAGCCCCACGCCGCCCAAGAAGAAGAAGGUGUUGAUGCCCGAGGAGCGGGCCAUGGAGCCGGCCAAGAGGAAGGGCCGGAGGCACGCACAUGAUGCAAGGGCGCGAGGUAGCUGCCGCCGCCGCGCAUCAGGAAGACACCAAUGCCCGGGUGAAGGCGGCAACCAGGGAGGCCUUGUUGUACCUAGGGGUAAACCCUAGCCAGCACGGGCUUCGUCAACGUCGUCGUUGCCGCGGCCGCGGCCAGCACGGGCUCGUCGGGAUAUCCUCGGAUGAUGCUGCCCGAGUCGCCGCACGCAUCUUCCAUGUAGCUGAUUCCCGGCUUCCACGUCUACCCGCAAGGCAGACGCUUCUUCGGGGAAUGCUCGCCGGAGGUGAGCAUUGUGGCCCCUUCCACGCCCACGUCGGUGACCAUCGACCUCAACACCACGUCGAUGGCAGGCGGAUCAUCGUCCGGAUGCAGGAGGAAACUCCAGCACGAAAUGCCAGCCGACAUGCUCAUCGACGCCUGCAAUCUGUUUGACGGAAUGCCGGCGGCCGUCGACGAUGACACAGCCAACUGUUUCCUCGAGAACAUGAUCUUCAAAGGCGGUGCGUCAACGGCUUGGUUUUACUCCGUGGAUGCGUACGAUCCCGAUGAGACCCAAAACCACGACGACCGAGCGCCAUUCACACAAGCCACCAAUGAUCAACAUGACGCCUUCAUGCAAGAUCAGGUCGGCCUAGACGGUUUCCCGCUCGACCAUGAGUUCCCGAAGGACUACGGCCUUGAGGAGGAGGAUGACAUGGACAUCGACAGGGAGCCUUUGUUCGAGGAGGAGCUUGCCAACUAAACUGCUGCCGGGGCGAAGCCAAAGCGCAAGAGCAAGCGGACGAAGGCAUACAUGACAUCCGAGGACAAGCUCCUUUGUGAGUGUUGGAGGGACAUUGGGCAUGACCCGAAGGUUGGUGCCGAACAAAAGUAUUCAGCCUUAUGGACUCAUGUUCAUCGUGAGUUCCAUGAGCAUGAGAAGUUUCUCGCGUACCAGACACAAGCAAGCGUGGAUGGGUGUCACUUUCGAAGCAUUGGAGGGUGAUUCAACAAGAGUGCAACAAGUUUUGUGCCACCUAUGAGAGCAUCAAGGCACGCCCGUGAGCGGCCUCGGCAUGCAAGACAUGGUAUGGUUGCCCUCUCAUUCCCUUUUGGCUCCACACGUUUUCCCGUGGAUUGCAUGUCCAUUUGCCCACAUAUGCUUGCUUGGUUUGAAUUAUAGGUGUCCAUGCUUUGGAGGUAUUGAAGGUUCAACAUGACGGCAAGCCCUUCCAUCUCUUUCAUUGUUGGACUAUCAUCAACGGGGAGGAGAAGUUCAAGGCGCAAUAUGCUGCCCUCUUGGCGCGUAGGGGGAAAGAAGUUGUGGAGGACCAUGGUGACGGUGAGAAGGCCCAGCCACAGGGGAAUACCAACUCGAAGAAGGAGGACAAGCGGGACGCGGCGUCGAUCGCCUUGCUUGAAAAGGUGGAGGGCAUGAUAAGCAAGAAGGACUUGAGGAAGGAGAAGCGCCGACUAGAAAAGGAAGAGCGAAUAAACGCCUUCAUGGAAAUCCAAAGGAAGAGACUCGAGAUGGACGCGGAGAAGCAAGGCAAGAUGCUUGAGAUCGAGGCCACAAUGCCAAGAUCAAGGCGAAUGAAGUGGCCCUUGCAAGCAUGAAGACGGGGUUGCAGAUGAUGAAGGUUGAUCUGAACAAUGUGUCGCUAAGGAAGAGACUAUGGUUUGAGAAGAUGCAGGCCGAAAUGCUCAAGUUCGCCCAGCUGUGAUCUACGACGGAGAUCACAAUCCCGUUUUUUUGUAUGCCGUCAAGUGUGCUGACAUGACCACGAACCGACAUGGCAUGGUCGAAUUCCCGCGCCCUUUUGGUGUGCUGACAUGUGUGGCAGCAUGAACUGCGCGGUGAUUUUCUAUAGGCUCCUAAUGUAUGCCGGGCGCUGGCAUGGUGCCGAUACGAACUCUUGGGUGUUGUCAUUAUCUAUGGCGGGAGGCCUUUUCAAUCUAAAUGUGCGGACAUAAACGAGUCUCCCGCGUUGGGCGCUCGGCCGAUCAAAAAAAAAGGACGAUCGCAUAGUGAACGGUCGACUCAAACGAAUAAAAAACGAACAAAAUGUAUGUUCAUUUAGAUUGUCCUCUUGAAGUUGCUCUAAAGAAACGAAAGGUUCAAUUGUAAAUCUCCCCAGUAGUAUUUCGGACCGAUCGUACGUACACGUGAGGUAGCAAAACAGAGGUAUGCACACUCACUCGUACUACGUCCGUGCAGCUGGCUCGACAGCGAUGGAACACCUAGCUAGCUGUAUGUACGCUUAUGGCACGUAGUCGUACAUGAUUGAUCCAUCAGAAAGAAAGACGAUGAGAAAGUGAGAAAGGUUGCUUCCCCAAAAGAUGAAAGAAUCAGCAUCCAUUCAUCAAGCCGGCCGGUGAGGACGUCAGGCACCACUUCCAGGUCCACGAAUCUUUCUGAUCGAUCAGCUGUCUCCAAAGAAAACCAAAAGUACGGAAGCAGCCGCGGUGUUAAUUUCUCGAGGCUCUGUCAACUUUGUUUCCCUUACAAAAAAGUUGGCUACGGGCGGAUCAUCAUCUUAUCACGUUAGCCGCUAGCACGUUGCCAUCAUCGGCCUCAGUUAUUUAAGUGCAGUGCAGUGGUACACUGGUACAAUGGUGGCAUAGAGAUGUAAACGUUUUUAUAUUAGUUUACGAAGGGAGUACAAGUCUAAGAUAUCUAUAUUAAUUUUUCGAUUCAAUGCAAAACACUAUUAGUGGGACCCAUGAAGAAAAAUAAAACUCCAUCACAUGCAUCUUUAUAUUUUUUUACUUUUCCAUUUUUAGAUUUCCUGUACCGAACCUUACUUUUUCAUUUCAAGCACUCCUUCUUACUUAGAAUCCCGCUACUUCAUCUGAAUCUAUAUGAGAUUUUACAUGACAUACGAGACAUUAUCGUGAGGCUAUGCAUUAAUCAUUGUCCUCGUAGGCAAACUCUGGAUGGAUGCGUGAUGCAUUGGUGACACAGAUGCGUGGUACAUUAUCCUGAGGGUGAUACGUACGUCGAUAACAGCACACGACGACGCUCCCGGCUCUGAAAGAUAUCGAAACGCGAUCUGCAUGCAUGCAUAUACAUGUGCAUGGUUCGGAACCUGGCCUAGCAACAGGACAGCAGAAUAUUCUCAAACGAAGGAGCACCUAGUACGAUCAUAAUCGGGGCCAUGACUUGUCCGGCUGAUCUGAUCAAUCCACCGGCGACCUCCGGUGCAUCAACGGAACAAGGACGCUCAACCUCACUCAAUGAACCGUACUGGAGGGAGAGGAUCAUUUUUGCUCUGUUUAAAGAUGGCCUAGAAAAAUUGUACUCCCUCCGUUAGAGCAUCGAACAACCGAACCCGUCAACCCAUCUCAAAUGACCGGACAACCCGUUCGGUCAUUGAUCUCACAAAAAAACUCGAUCCAGCUGGACCCUACACACACAUAUCAAACGUCCGGACUGACCGACAUCCCUCAUAUCCAUAUUAAAUAUGAGGACAAUAUAAGAACUCGCGGAUGUGUUCGGACACGCCCAGUCAGUCCGCCAGGUAGAAUGCGACCCCACUCCGGACCACCUUCUUUCUUUCUUUAUUCAUUCUUUUCUCUCUCUCUUCUUCUGCAUCAAUCACGUGCAAGUGAUCGGACGUGCAAGUGAUCGGACAUAUGAGAAAAAAAAAUGAGUAUCGCGGACGCGCGAACGAAAAAGUAGGGGUUUGAAACGGACACGCCCGGUCACUGGCCGGUCGUGUCCGCGGGCUUUUGAGGGGCCGGAUUUGCAGUUCUGGCUGUAGAUGCGCUAUCUCCGUUGCCUCAGUCGUCUCCGACGCGUCAGCUGCCUCCGUUACCUCAGCUGUCUUCUUCGCGUCAGCGGACUCCCUCAAAGGAGGCCCCUCACUAGAAUCCUCCUCAGCCACGUCAGCUGACUCCGCCUCCUCAGCAACAACGGAAAAGAGCUGUCGGCUAGCAUUACAGUAACAAAGAAAUCCAGAGCACUCCCAAUCGUUAAGAAGGCUCCUCCCAAGAGACCCUAUGACAUGACUACGGAGGAAAACAUAGAAAUCAUGGCUGCCCAAGUAAAACCACAUUUUGCACCGAACCGUCAAUCACCAAAGCCGAAAACAGAUCCGAUAAAAGUGAAGCGUUGUCUCGAUGCCCUUAAGCGACCACCGUUGCCUCCGCUGUUAUCACACUAUGAUCGCAAUAUUGUAAAGACAUUUAAGGAAGCAAAGUGGUCGGAAAGUACUAGAAGUGAUGCAAGAAGUAGUGGAAAAACAAUUCCCUAGCUCGGCGAUCAAGAAAAUAAUCGUGCCACCCACUCAAGGUGUUUGCCGAUAUCACUAAUAUUGAUUCGGGGGUAAUGGACGCUAAUCCUCUUUUCACUCUUGGUGAUUUCUUAAGCGAUGAUGUACAGUUUGAAACUGCUGAGGUAGUAGGAGCCUUAAGAUACGAGCACGGGAAGCCCCUCGUCAAACUUGAGCGUUAACGAAACUAUCAACGAUGAUGCGAAGGCUCCAUGACUGAUACUUGAAAACCUGCAAUGAUGGAACGAACAACAUCUACGUGAGAAUUAAAGAUGAGCACUACUUCAAUGGAUUCGAGUUGUUGUAGAUUGAGUUAAAGAAUUCUUCCAGUUAUACUAUCAAUACGCCCUCGACAAAACGCUCGCAAGUUGCUAUUGUCUAUAAGUAUUAUUUUUGUAAUUAAGUCUCUAGCUCACCUUGCUCAUUGCAUGUAUAAUUAUCUUCAUUAUAUUAUGCAAAUUGAAGAUCCUCGAAUGCAAAAGGGGACAAAUAUAUGACAUUGGGUUCAUUAACCCAGAUACCAUAAAUGAAUAUACGGUACAUCACAUCCCCAUGGAUACAGAGAAAAACUCGCUAAAUGCGUUAAUUUGACAACAUGACAGAAGGGAAAUAUUAUUUCCUUACAACUUUGGGUGAGUGCUACUAGAUGUCUUGUGCACAUUCUGUUUCGCUUACUCGAGGUUAACUGUAAUUGAUGAGUUAUGCGUGCGCAAGUUUUAUUUUAUUCUCCUAAUAAUUAAGCUUGAGGAAGAACUAGUAAUUGUCUUGUACUCGAGACAUAAAGACCCUACAGAGUGGGGGACGAUGAGUGAAAUGCUCCAGAAGUAAAUUCAAUCAUUAUCGCACCAUAUCGGCAACUUUUGUUCAUUUCCUGAUAUCAAGUAAUCAUUUUUUUGUCGUGAAGGGUUUGGAAAAAGUUCACCCGCACCACUAGUUGUGAAUGGCAAAAGGAGCUGCGAUUUUCACAAUCCAAAAUAAGUAGUACUAGCUAGUUCCACACAUCUCUCAUUCAUUCUAGUUUCAAUACCCUUAUAAUGCUUGAUUAUUAAUUUGAUUGAACUCUAUUCUCGUAAAGUACUGCUUGAGGCAGGAAGUCGGGAAUAAUUUAUGUGGAUACUACCACUAGUAGAAACAGGGCUUUGGUCCACUUGAAGAAAUCCAAUUACUCUCGGUUCACCCACGAACGGGGACCUAUGGUGUCAUUGGUCCCGGUUCGUGAGGCCAGGGUGCCAGGCGGGCAUCAUGGGCCAUUGGUUCCGGUUCGUGUCAAACCUUUGGUCCCGGUUCCAGACACUAACCGGGACCAAUAGGCAGGGACCGUUCGUAUCCCCCUUUAGUCCCGGUUGAUGGAUCAAACCGGGAUCAGGUGGACCGUUCGUAACCCCCUUUAGUCCCGGUUAGUCGAACAAACCGAGACGAAGUGGUGGUGGCAACUGUUCGUAUCACCCUUUAGUCUCGGUUGAUGGAUCAACCUGGGACUAAAGGCCCAAACGGUUUGCCUCCCGCUUCUCAAAAGCACAACCGAAACAGAGUAUGUCGCCAUUUCUUUGUUCUUCUCCUCUCUCCCUCUCCUCUCUUCUUCCCCUCUCUUCUUCCCUUCUCUUCUUUCAUCAUGCCAACUCGCUUCGGAGAGGUGCUCGCACAUGACAAGACCAAGCUCGAUGUUGUGUACACAACGAGAGCAGGGAGGUGCCGCAUUUUCUGAAAUUUCUAUAAUAUUUUGAUAAAUUGUUAUGCAUGUGCUCAAAUAUAUAUGUGGGAACCACUAGGGAUCAGACUACAGAUCCUAGCUUCCUAUCAGGCCAAUAUUGAGUCGUUGGAUGGAAGCAUGUAUAGCCGUUGGAUGGGCAGGGUCGCCUGUGUGCACAUAGUGCGCAGUUUUCAAAUAAAAUUAAAACUUGAUGGAGCUAAUUACGUGGAUUUGCUAAUAACUACACCCGUUAUUUAAGAAACCAAAUAAAUGUUUCCAUACAUUUAGCAAACUAAUUUUGAAUAGUAAGGACUGUAAUAAUUGUUCCAAAUUGGCAUUCUACGAGAUAUUGUUCGUGGCUUUACAAGAAGGUUUUGUUUUCAUUCUUGAAAUUUUUGUUUCCAUUCUUAUUCACUUUUGCUUCCGAAGGAACUGCGUCGAGAUGGGGGUUUUCCACAGUAAUUUAUGUUUCCAUCAAUUGAGGAAUUAACUUCCAUUUUUAGGUCAUGCAGUAUGCUUCCAUAUGUAAAAAAUUGUCUCCAAGUGAAGUGUAAUUUCAAUUUGCUUCUUAUCUAGAAUAUCUUGUUUCAUUUGUCCAACAAGAUUACGCCCAACACAUUUGGGUACGUAGUUCGUUUACGACGUAGAAAAUAAUAUGCUUACUUCUCCAAAGAGACAAAAUAAUCUGCUUACACAAAAAAAUAGGGUUUGCUUUCCAAGUUACAAAUACUCUCUCAGAUCUAAAUUGCCUACAAAAAGAGAAUAAAUUUUGACAUGGAAGAAAACAUUAUUGAUUUUUUCUUAUCCAAUGAAAAAAUGCUUCCAACGGAAAUAGUAUUUGCUUCUUAUGAUGCCAGAAUUUGCUUCUAUGUACAAGAAUGGUCAAGGGGCUAUCUUCUUCUCGGCACAAUGUCACUAUGGUCCACCGUGAUGCUGAUUCCACAUCCGCAAGGGGCACACUGGCCAGACCAUGGAAGCACCCACACUGGCACGCCUCAUGAUUAUACAUAGAGUAGACGUGUAGGCGGUGUCGGCAUGGAAACGGUGGCUACAGACAACGUAGACGCGUGGAGGAUAAACAUGCAUUAGGGGCUCCCCGUGGAAUUCUCUUUACCAUUUGUGAAUAGUACUGUGGAAGAUGGUCGUGGGCACGGCAGCAUGCCGAAAAGAUCGAGCGUGGUGGCGGGAACGGUGGAGCAAGGCCGUGGAGACCAUGCGGGCCUGCCAUCCACCGGUGUUGAAUUUGUUGCUCUGGCGGCUACCUCCCACAGAGUGUCUCCACCUCGCCGCCACGGUAUGAGGGGACAAGACGAUCUCGCCAUCGCCGAGGCUUCCGGCGGCAUGAGAUCGAAUCGGCUUGUCGGGAGUUGUCGGCGCUUUGCAUUUGACGAGACCAACCACGUCGAGGAGAGAGAUCGGUAGUAGCAGGUUAGGGUUUGGUGAACAUGGGAUGGGGGGAUGAAGCUGUAAGAAGGAUAUAUAUAUGGCAAAUACGUGACGUUGGAUGGGAUCGACGGCCUAACAGACGGCUGGUGAUUUCCUCCUAUCAGUAUACUGAUGGAAAGCGUUUUCUUUUAAAAAAAUAGGAGGACUCGGGCUGAGCUAGACUAGCUACAUAUGCUCCCCUCGAAUCAGCUUGUUUUAGAUCUCCCCACGAAUCAACUAAAAUCAAUUUACCACCGCAAUUUUUCGCCUCCGGUUGGGCUUUGGUUUGGUAGUAUACUGAUGGAAAGCCCAGCCCGAAACCCGGCCCAACCCUUACAUAUACCACUAGUACUAGCUAGCUACAUGUGGCCAGCCCUUUGAAUUAAGUAGUAGAGUAGCUAGCAACAUCACUUUACCAGCACAAUCCUUGGCACAGUGGCAUCAAUUAGCACUGCAUUUUAGCAGGUACACUUAACAACACAUCGAAACCACUCCCCCAUUCCUUUCCACCUCCUCCCCAAUCCCGAUUAUAAACCCCCAACACCUCUUCUUCCCCCUCACGUCUCCAUCACCUUCUUCCACUUCCCUCCAUCAGCUCGCCAUCAUUCACACACCACCGCAUGCAGUAGGCAGUAGCCACACUCCACUGCCAUCGCUCUCACGCACAGACAGCAUCACCGGCUUGCCUACACCGCACUCCCGUCGCUCUCAGCUGCCAUGGCGUCCNNNNNNNNNNNNNNNNNNNNNNNNNNNNNNNNNNNNNNNNNNNNNNNNCCUACCCGUGCCUGCUGCCGCCGCCCACGCCGCCGGCCUCCACCGCCGACUGCCCGCCGCCGCCCUCCGCGCCGUCCGGCUCCGGCUACGGGUACCCGCCCCCGUCCUCCUCCGGGAACGCGCCGCCGUCGCCCUCGUACUGGAGCAACCCUCCGCCCUCUGGCGGCUACAUUCCCGGCUACUACCAGCCUCCCUCCGGCGGGGGUGGCGGAGGAGGCGGAGGCGGUGGAGGAGGUGGCGGGAACUACGGGCCGGCGCCGCCCCCGCCCAACCCGAUCCUGCCGUGGUACCCAUGGUACUACCGGUCCCCGCCGUCCUCGUCGGCGGUGGCAACAACGGGGAGCGCGUGGGCGGCCGUGCUCUGCUUGGUGGCCGCCGCAACUGCCGCUGCUGCUCUCGUCGGUUACUAGUACGGUCAUCAUCGAUCAGUUACUAGCUAUACUUUCAGUUCGUAGUCCAUCAAUUCUUCAUAUAUACUUGAUGUAUAAGAUAAUGGGGUGCCAUUAUUAUUAGCCAUGCAUAAUAUCUACUAGUAUCCAUCGAUGGUAGUACUCCCUACAUAUUGAUUCAUUGCUCAGUUGGCUUUUGGGUGGUGAGUGGAGCGAGCAACUAUAUAUUGCUGGUGCUGGCUAGUUUUCUUGGGAGCAUAAUAUAUGUGGCUAGCUGGUGAUCUCAAGAAUCUUGUGCCUUUCUCUGAGUGCCUCUUCCUUUUUCUUCGUGUUAUUAAUGUACUCGUCUAGUAGUGGCAUAUAUACUACUCCCUCCGUUCAGAAAUACUUGUCGCGUAAAUGUAUAAAAUUAUAUGUAUCUUACGUACUAAAAUACAUCUAGAUAUACAUUCAUUUCUACUCCCUCCGUUUUAAAUAUUUAUCUUUUUAAAGAUUCAACUACGGACUACAUACGAAGCA